AGAAAUAAAAUCACCUGGAGCGCUAAUUGGGGAGAAGAUUUUAGCUGUUUUAAGAGCUCAACAACCGCAGAACCAUCUGCAUACCUCCUAAACAACAAAACCCCUCUAUCUGCUAAUAUUCUCUCAAUCUUUUCAGCAUCACCACUGCAAGCUAGCAACUCAUCCCUUAAAUGUGAAACCCUUUCUCUCAGAUCCUGUUUGACCAAUGAAUCAGCGUGACUCCACCUGUCUGCGAACAAAGCAAAUACCUGUGACCAGGCAGGUUGGGAAGAAGCUGCUCCGCCUGCUAGUCCUCGAACCCACAACGUAUUAGCUGAAGCUCGUGCAAUCGUGUAACACCAUGAAUGUUUUCUAUAAUUUUCAGAAAAUCUUUGGAGAAUUGCUUCCGUCUGGGAAGCAUCCGAGAUUCUCCAUACCCUCUUCAUCAUUGACAGCUAGGUAAAGUGGUACCCUAAUUUACAUAUAAUUACAAUAGUGUCAGCCAACUUGAGGUUUUCAAAAUGUUAAAUCAGCUCAUUCAGCAGCUUAGUUAACAACAUCCAUAACAUCAAAAUCAAAAUCCAACUUCUAAAAUUUCAAAAGCAAUUUUCUAUCCAGACGAAACCAUUUCAAAACUCGCAAGAAAAAAUAUUCUCUAUCCAAGCAAAACAAUUUGAAAGCCCAAAAAUCUGGAAGAUAAAUGACACCGAAGAAUCAUAUGAUAUAUAGAAUAUUGAAUGCUUCGUAUUUUAUGGUCCAUAAAGCAUACAUCAUAUACAAUCAAGAUUCGCCAUACCCAUUUAUCAAUGCCAUGUUUUUCAAGGGUUUAUCGAGUGCAACUAUUUUGAUUAGGAAAAAACAUCCAAAAUAAUUAACUCAAUAAAACAUUUCAAGAUUUUUUCUGUAGUUAUUUUAUAUCCAGACAAAAAAACAAAUUAAACCCCACAAACAAACCACAAAAAAAAAAAAAAAAGCAGAUAAUGACUUUUUUUACAAACUACAGAUAAAAGAGAAUCAGAGGAAAGGAGGAAAAAAGAGGGUUAAACGUACAACUGAAUUUCGUCUGAGCGCUUAUCAGUCAGCUCGGUUAGGUUUUGGAAAAUUUGAUUCGGUAUUUUCGGUUUCGGUUUCUACAAAACUCUAAACUGAAACCAAACCAAAUUAAAUUCGGUACAAUUAAGUUUUUCUCUUUCGGUUUUGAUUUGUGCGAAUUGGUAACUUAGCUAUGUAGGGCUUGGGGUUUAGUUGAGCCUUUUCAAAUUUGGGCAUCUCCAAACCAAAUGCCUACUGCUUGCACAGAAACUAAUUACUACAAUAUGUGAGUGUUAAAAAUUUGAAGGAAUGUUCUCAACCAACUUAUCUUGUUCUUUUUAUAGGUAAUGUCACAGUGUUAUUGAUGUAAACACAGCAUUAGGAAAUGCUGAAGAGGUGUAAAUCCAAGUAUACCUGCUCCGGCGAUUGGUGAACGGCUGGCGGAGUGGCGGAGUAGCUGGCACUCGAUAUCCGAGGCUGGACUGGCGGAGCAGCGGCGGUGAAUGUCGAGAAAAAAGAGAAGGUCGAAGCUUUUCUUUUUCUAUUUUCCGCUUCAAAAGGUGAAGUUACAACUUACAAAUCCUAAAGGCCAUAUUAGGAGAAAAUGACAAAACUGGUCCCUUAUGUUUUCGGUUGGUGUAAAUUAGUCUUAUAUAGUAUAUUUUAGCAGUUGUAGUCCUUAUGUUUAUCAAAACUUAGCACUGUUAAUUUUUCAUAUAUUUAUAACACGACGGUAGCCGUAUUUGACAGAAUUAGCAUCUGAACCGUUUAAAUUAAAAAAAAAUAUUCAUAGUCGAAAAAUGACGGUAGUCAUAUUUGACAGAAUUAGCAUGUGAACAACAUCUGAACCGUUUAAAUUGAAAAAAAAUAUUCAUAGUCGAAAAAUUACGGUAGUCAUAUUUGACAGAAUUAGCAUGUGAAUAGUAUCUGAAGCGUUUAAACUGGAAAAAAACAUUCAUAGUCGAAAAAUGACGGUAGUCAUAUUUGACAGAAUGUGAAUAGCAACUGAACCGUUUAAACUAGAAAAAAACAUUCAUAGUCAAAAAAAAGAUACUUUUUAUUUAUUUUUUCCAAUUUAUACCUUAGAAAAAAAAAAAUUAACUGCAAGAUUUGAGCAACAAAGGGUGCUAUUGAGAGUUCGCAUAAGAUACAAAUGUUGAUUCAUUUGCUAUUUUAUAUAAUUAAGAAUCGAAAGGUGAAAGGUGUAUUUAAUUGCCAUGAAUAGGAUUUUCUUAAGGUUCAAAUUAGGAAAAUGAAUUCGAAAAUGCUCUGUCACAAUGAUGACGACUUGUAGUAGUAAUUGACUGGUAUCCAAUGGGUGAAGUAAAGGAAUUGACUAUUUGCUAUGGAUGGGGGAGGAGGUUUCUUUCUUCUUUUUCUAAAGCAAGAAUCUAUAAGUUGACAUGUACAUAAAAUUACGGUAUUGGAUAUGAUGUUCAAAGAAAAUCAGACAAAAAUAGUGAAUACACACAUUUAGAUGUAUAUUUUAAAUAUAUAGGUAUCACAAAAACUGCGUACAAAGGCAAAAUUAAGACUCUUCAGGAGCUCGCUUACGACGAGGCACUCGUAAGACGGUCUAAGACAUGCGUGGAGCUCUUGUCUUGUAAAAUACACGCCCAAUGCACGAGGCUCAUUCCAUUACUUUAGUUUAAUCAAGUAUAAUUAGCCUUGUAAAUCCAAAAGUUUCUUUACUAAAUCUGAACAAUUUAAGAGCCAUCAUUCGAUCAUAAAUUAGACGUUGAUAACAAUGCAACUAAAAAUUGUGUCCUAAUAUUGAAUUUUUUGCGCUAAGAACACUAUAAGGUGUCGUUUGGUUUGAAUACGACUUAAUUCGGGAUAAGUUAUGCUUGGAUAAAUUAUAUUGAGAUUAGUUAUGCUGUGAUUAGUUAUCCUCGUAUUGUUUUUAUCCGAUCCACUGUCUGGUAUGUGGUAUUAAAAAUGACAAUUGCAUAAUUUGUAAGGAGAAUGUAUAAGUUAUCCCGACACUAAUUACCCCACCCUCUACAAAGUAUAAGUUAUUCCGGUACUAAUUUUAAUCCCGAAAUAAUUUAUAUCAGGUUUGCUAAUCAAACAAAGUAUUAAGGUGGUAUUAAAUUUUUAUACCAGCAAUAUACCUUCUUAUACCUCGUACCAAAUGACCCCUAAGGGUGAAUUUUGAUGGAACCUUUCAAUCAGGAAAAAAUAGUUAUAGCUAAAAUGAUCACUUACUGUGGACCAUAAGGAGUAUUAAUCAGUUGGAAGCACAUGUAAUUGUUAUUAUUCCUGUAAGUUUAAAUAUCAUAUUUUUUACUUAUUGUGGAUUAGAGGGAGUAUUAAUCAGUUGGAAGCAUAUGUAAUUGUUAUUAUUCCUGUAAGUCUAAAUAUCAUAUUUCUCACUUAUCUAACACUUAGAUUGCAUCUCAAACAAGGAAUUUAGUAAUGUAAAUAUUAGUUUUUAAAACACUAAAUGAUUAGAGUUACUCGAUACACGUACAUGUGGGAGGUGUAAAAUAGUUGAGGUAUACGUAAGUUGGUUUGUACACGACUCGUAGUAGUAUUAAGAAAGUGUGCCUCGACUCAUCUACUUCUCCGGAAGUAGAUAUAACACAUUGUUUCCAAAAGGAUUCUUGUUUCCUUUUGAUGUUUGGAUUGUUAGGACAUUGUAGUUGAUUCGUAUAUCAUGGAAUUAUACAAAAUUAUUGUAAUUUAUAAAUUAGCAAAAUUUAAAAGAUUCAUGGGUUUACACUGCCAUGCCUACGAGCUUAUAUCUCUCUCUGUGUCCCCGUCUUUUAAUGCACCAUGUCAAAUAUUAAAAUUUGAAAUGUGUCAUUUUAGCAUUUCAAUUAUUUUUUUACAUCUUCAAAAAUAUAUUCGUAAUUUUAGCAAUUCUUUAGUGGAUAGGUUAUAAAGCAUUCUAGGGAAAAAAAAUCUUAAGAGACAAUACUGCUUUAUUUCAAUUGAGUUUGAAUGCAUGUUCAGGAGAUAUACUUAUGAACCAAUGAAAGUAUUUACUCGAUUAAAGCAUGCAGUAUUAGACAAAGAAGACGACAUAAUUAAGAAAAGUAGAAUGUAAAGAAUCUCGAUAUAAUGAGAACAAUAGAUGAAGAUCUUGAGGAUCUUAAUUAAAUCCCAAAUAAAUAUGUAAUGCAAAUACUUAAAAUAGAAAAAGAUUGAACACACAAUAAACAAAAGCCGAUCAUUUCGGGAAGCAUACGUCAAAUUUUGGCAGAGAAAAUGGAGCUCCUAAAAAUAAGAGAUAAAGGGGAAUGGGUCGAGGGAAUUGUGAAGCAAAGACUUUAUUCCGAGCAUUCGUGGCGCGAGCUAUCGAAGGGCCGAUGAGAGGCCCGUCCUCAUGGUAAAGAGUUUUCUCAAAUGACUUUGACCUAGAAGGUUCGCGCUAUCGAUUUCUAACUUGCUUUUACUCCUUUUUUGCAGGUUUACCAAAAGAUUUUGAGAUAAGGACUCCAUCUGGUGAUGACGAUAUCUUCAGUGAGCCCCCUGCCUCGGGGCAGGAUAAAGAGAAGAAAAGGAAAAAGGCCCCGAGUUCUCAAGGCCCUGAGAAAAAGAGGCCAAAGAAAAGAUUAGCUUGUAAACCCAAGGGAAGCACCAAUGGUAGAGCAUUGUCCCUGGAUUCACUCUAUCGACUGAGGGACGAGUCCGAGGAGGAAGGAGAAGCUUUUGAUCUCGUGAUCAGUAUGUCGUCGCAACUCGAAGGGCAAGGGGCCUCCGAACCAGGGGGCAAGGCCGAAUUUUAUCAUGUCGGGGAGACCGAGGUGGAGGUAGGAGCUGAGGCUUCCCGAGAUGCUGGCAAAGCCCUGCAGGAAGCACUCGACCCGAUAGAGAUUGCCAAGUCACCCUCGUUUACAGAGUCGAUGUUUAACGAGGCCCAGGUUGCAAAAGAACGCCCCCUCGAGAGGAUCCAUAAAUCGAACGACCCCUUCCGUGGUGUUUUUGACGGUGUGGAUUCGACGGCCACGGAGGACGCCAUUGGAUUUGGCGAUUUAGAGAUACCAAGGAAGAGCUCUCUCUCAAAAGCAAGUGGGCCUUCCUCGACCCCAAAAUUGGUCGAUCGAUUCCCUACCCCGAGUGCAUAUCCUAAUCGGAAGCGCACCAUUGUUUUUUCACUUCCGGAGGAUGCCCGAGUUCUCUCUACCCCCAUAGGGGUGGCCAGCUAUCUUCAGUGCCUGGUGACCGAGGAUGAUCAAGCUAAGAUGAACGAGGUGGAUGCAUCCUGCCUUUUCAACGAAGCACAACAGGCGUUGAACCGGGUAACUUCUUGCUUUCCUAAGUGAAUUUUUGAUUUAUACUUCGAUUAUUUCGCAGAUGUUUUAGCAUUUCCCUUCUUGCUCGUAGGCUUCGGUGCUUCAUCACGAGGCUUUUUUGAGGUACUGGGAUGACCUAAAACAACUCAAAGCUGGAGUUCGAGAGCUUAUAAGAACCUCCGUGCCAAGCUAGAAGUGGCCCGGAAGGAUCAUGCUGACUUGGUCGAGCAGGUAAAAGUUUUUGAAGUAAGUGAUGAUGAAUUUGAUUCGGUGGCUGAUGGUCAAAAUCUGCAGGUCCGGCAAAAACUCAAUCGGAUUGCUCAGCUCCGAGCCGAAAUCCAGCUAAGAGCGGCAAAGGAAAGAGCUGAGGUUCAUACAAAAAGGGUUGAAGAGCUCCAAUCUCGGCUCGGUUCGGGCGUCUCAAAUCGAGAUAAUCUGGUCAAGGAACUUAAAAUGGCCAAGUUAGAGGUCAUCGUGGCCAAGUCCGAAGCUGCUGAAAUGGUAGCCCAGUAUAAGGCAGAUGCUGAAGCUGAUCAAGACCAAUAAAAAAAUAUAGCCGAGCAUAUGAAGUGGCAAUCUCAAAGGCAGGCCCUCGAGGAAAUUCACUCUCGGGGUUUUGACUUAUUGGCCGAGAUCAAGGAUGCCAAGGUGCUCGAAGCCGAGGCCAGGAAGUUGGCCUAUCCCAAGGAGGAGGAUUCUAAGGAAUCAAGCAGCUCCGAGGAUGGAGAAGACCCUGGGAAUCCAGAUGACGAUGCGGGCUCCGGCCAAGAUCAGGUGGCUUCUGUUUGAUUUGUUUCUUUUUGUACUUAGUACACUGUGUUGAAGCUGUUCUGCCUUUGUAAAGACAAUAUUUUGUAAAUAUAAAUUUUCCAUUUCUUUUUUAUAACUCUCGAAUUCUUCCUUUGCUUUUCUCUUUAUGUUUUACAAAGAUUAAAAUGCCUUAGCAUUAAUUAGUCUUGUUUGGAAUUCCGAACAGGCUUUUACCUUUGAUAUAAUCAAUCUCUAAGGCGUCGUGGAAUCCGCAUUGUCCGGGAAGUUUUUUCCUAUAACACUUAUACCUUUUAGAAUAUGACUUGUAUAAAGUGUGCUUUGCCUAGGUUUUUAUAAGCUUUUAUAACUUCGGGUUUUGUUAACCCGGGGAUGGCCUUGGCCUUUUAAUUCGGGCAAUGCUAAGUAAGCUUCAUGCCCUCGGGUUUUGUUAACCCUGGAAUGAUCUUGGCCUUUUAAUUCAGGAAAUGUCAAAUAAGCUUCAUGCCCUCGGGUUUUGUUAACCCGGGAAUGACCUUAAGCUUCAUGCCCUCGGGUUUUGUUAACCCGGGAAUAGCCUUGGCCUUUCAAUUCGGGCAAUACCAAAUAAGCUUUAUGCCCCCAGAUUUUGUUAACCUGGGAAUGGCCUUGGCCUUUUAAUUCGGGCGAUGCCUGAGUGGCAGUCCCCGAGUAAGAGUGAAUGUUCGCACUCGGAUUAAGGUGGCCCUUAGGCUCGGCAAUGCCAAAUAGGCUUUUGUGCCCUCGGGUUUUGUUAACCCGGGAAUGGCCUUGGCCUUUUAAUUCGGGUGAUGCCUAAGUGGCAGUCCCAGAGUGAGAGUGAAUAUUUGAACUCGGAUUAAGGUGGCCCUUGGGCUCGAUACCUUUAGGGGAUCGGGUGUAGGAAAUUCCUUGAGAAAUGCAAGAAAAGUUUUAAAGGACAAGAUGUUUAUGUGUAAGGAAGAGUCUUCUUUUUUAUUCUUGUGCACAAUAGUUAUACAUGUAUACAUGUUUUGUGCUAGGGCUCGAGUGGUCUGUGUGGGUAUGGUUCAUUUGACCGUUUGGCCAUUACAAUAAAUCCUAUUGAUCGAGAUCCUUCAAUCACAAAGUUUCUUUCCUUGUUAAAGUCCAUAUCGAAGGGUAUUGCCCCAGUGUUUGGGCCUGACUGAAGAGUGGCCUCGAAUGCUAUUGUGAUCAUUGUCACCGGUUCGUAGCCGGAAUUCAAUUCUAAGUUAUCACGAUUUACUUGUUGCCUCAUUAAAAAUCUUGCCGGAAAAUCUAUUUGGGACAAAUCCGGUUCAAGGGAAAAAGAGUGCAACGCGUGCUUUCAAACCUAGGAUCUCGUAUCAUCCCUUGUUGGUUACCUGCUAGUGUUAGUUUGAAAUGUAAAAAUAAAAGAAAGAAUCGGGGCCGUACUUUAGCAGUAAUAUCGCUUUAAGUGAGUUAUAUUCCGGUUGUUCGUAAUUGCUCGUCGUUCAUUGUUCUGAGCUUGAAGGACCCUUUUACGGUGAUCUCGAUAAUUUGGUAAGGUCCUUCCCAAGUCGGCCCUAAUUUCCCUCCGUUCGGUUUUCGGGUGCUUAGUGUAACUUUUCUUAGUACCAAAUCCCCUGUAUUGAAGUGUCAAAGGUUGGCCCUUCGAUUGUAAUAUCUUUCGAUCCGCUGUUUUUGGGCCGCCAACCGGAUAAGGGUGGCUUCACGCCUUUCAUCUAAUUGCUCCAGGCCCGUACUCAUAGCCUCAUCAUUCGAUUCCUUUAUUUCAUAUCAGAAUCUUAUGCUUGGUUCUCUAACCUCGACUGGUAUUAAAGCUUCGGUGCCAUAAACCAAAGAAAACGGGGUGGCCCCGGUACUGGAUUUCGAAGUUGUACCAUAGGACCUCAGGUAGCAUUUCCUUCCAUUUUCCUUUGGCGUCGGUUAGCCUCUUUUUAAGGCUUUGGAGUAUGGUUUUGUUGGUAGAUUCAUCUUGUCCAUUCCCACUAGGGUGUCGAUAGGAUCUUUUUGAUCUUAUGGUCUUCAAGGAAUUUGGUUACUUUGCUUCCGAUGAAUUAUUUCUCAUUAUCGCAUACAAUCUCGGCCGGCAUGCCGAACCGGUAUAUGAUGUGGUCCCAAAUAAAAUCGAUGACUUCCUUCUCUAUGAUCUUCUCGUAUGCCUGGGCUUUCACCCAUUUAGAAAAGUAAUCAGUCAGAAAUAAUAUAAAUCGAGCCUUACCGGGUGCCCAUGGAAGGGGGCCGACGAUGUCCAUUCCCCACUUCAUGACCGACCAUGGUGAAAAAAUCGAAUGCAACAACUCCCCAGGAUUGAUGAAUCAUUGGAGUGUGUCUUUGGAAUUCAUCAUAUUUUCAAACGAACUACUUUGCGUCUUUUUCUAUGUCCAUCUAGUAGUAACCAACUCUGAUUAUUUUUCGAACGAGUGAUUCGGCGCCCGGAUGAUUUCCACAGGUACCUUCAUGGAUUUUCCUUAAAACGUACUUAGUAUCCCCCAGCCUUAGACAUAUUGCAAGUGGGCCAUCGAAUGUCCUUCUGAACAGGGUUCCGUCUUCGGACAGGCUAAAUCGGACUGCCUUUGUACGUAUGGCCCUCGAUUCUUUUGGGUCCGAGGGCAGUGUUUCGAUCCUGAGAUAUUCCAUGUACUUAUUCCUCCAAUCCCAAGUUAGGCUCGUUGAGUUGAUUUCGGCGUGGCCUUCUUCCACCACAGAUCUCAUAAGCUAUAAGACUUCUCCCGAAUUGAUCUCAUUGUCUUCGACCGAUGAUCCCAAGUUAGCGAGGGCAUCGGCCUCGCUGUUUUGGUCUCGAGGUACAUGUUGCAAAGUCCAUUCUUUGAACCAAUGUAAUAUCACCCGUAACUUGUCCAAGUAUCUCUGCAUUCAUUCCUCCCUGACCUCGAAUGUCCCAUUAACUUGGUUUAUAACAAGGAGUGAGUCACACUUGGCUUCGAUCACCUCUACCCCCAAGCUUUUGGCUAAUUCAAGGCCUGCAAUCAUGGCCUCAUAUUCGGCCUCGUUGUUAGUUAAUUUCAUAGUCUUAAUAGAUUGCCUAAUUAUAUUAUAUGUUGGUGGCUUUAGUACGAUGCCAAGUCUGGACCCUUUUGCGUUUGAGGCGCCAUCCGUAAAGAGGGUCCAGAAUCCCGAGGAAGUCCCCGAGUUAAUCAAUAACUCUCUUUCAACCUCGGGUAUCAGGGUCGGCGUAAAGUCGGCCACGAAGUCUACCAAAAUUUGGGACUUAAUGGUAGUUCGGGGUUGGUACUCAAUAUCGUAACCACUUACUUCCGUGACCCAUUUGGCCAAUCAGCCCGAGAGUUCGGGCUUAUGCAUAACGUUCCUUAACGGGUAAGUUGUUACGACACAUAUGGGGUGAUAUUGGAAAUAUGGUUUUAGCUUCUUGGAGGCGCUUAGCAAGGCGAGCGCCAGUUUUUCUAGGUGAGGGUACCUAGUCUCGGCCUCACCUAAGGUCUUACUAAUAUAAUAAAUUGGAAAUUACGUACCUCGUUCUUCCCGAACUAGGACUCCACUUAUCGCUAUCUCCGAGACCGCCAAGUACAAGUACAGUCGUUCGUCUAUCUUUGGUGUGUGAAGCAGCGACGGGCUCGAUAAGUACCUCUUUAGCUCCUCCAAAGCUCGUUGGAAUUUUGGAGUCCAUGAAAAGUUAUCCUUUUUUUUCAAUAGUGCGAAGAAUCAGUGGCUUUUAUCGGAUGACCUCGAAAUAAUUCGCCCCAGGGCGGCUAUGCGCCCGGUUAGCCUUUGCACGACCUUUACGCUGUCCACGACCAUGAUAUCUUUGAUGGCUUUGAUCUUGUCGGGGUUGAUCUCGAUUCCUCGGUUGGAUACCAUAAACCCGGGGAAUUUAACUGAUCCGACUCCGAACGCAUAUUUUUUCGGGUUCAGCUUCAUAUUGUACUUCUUUAAUAUGCUGAAGGUUUCCUGCAAAUAUUUCAAAUGGUCCUCUGCUCGCAGGGACUUAACCAACAUAUCGUCAAUGUAAACCUCCAUCGAUUUUCUAAUUUUUUUCCUCAAACAUCCGAUUUACUAGGCGUUGAUAAGUGGCACCAUCAUUUUUUAAUCUGAAUGACAUCAUAUUAUAGCAGUACGUGCCAUAUUUAGUGAUGAAAGAGGGUUUUUCCUGAUCAUACGGGUCCAUCUGUAUCUGGUUGUACCCGGAAUAGGCAUCGAGAAAACCGAGGGUCUCGUGGCCAGCCGUGGCAUAGAUUAUGCGAUCAAUGUUGGGUAGAGGGAAAGAGUCCUUGGGACAUGCUUUGUUCAAAUCCUUAUAAUCUACGCACAUUCUAAAUUUGUCCCCCUUUUUAGGGACUACCACUACGUUUGCUAACCAAUCGGGGUAUUUCACCUCUCGAAUGGACGCUAUUUUAAGCAGUUUAGAUACCUCGUCCUUGAUGAAAGCAUGUUUGACCUCGGACUGGGGCCUCCUCUUCUGCUUGACCGGAUUAAUCUUCGGGUUUAUGCUUAUCUUGUGAGUGGUUAUAUCCGAUAGGAUCCCUGUCAUAUCAAGAUGGGACCAAGGGAAACAAUCUAUAUUAGCUACAAAAAAUUGAAUAAGUUUUAUCGUGAGUUCGGGAGCUAACCCUGUGCCCAGGUAUACCUUCCGAUCAGGUAGAUGUUCGAUCAAUAUAACAUGUUCCAUCUCUUCGACCGUGGAUUUGGUUAUGUCGGAAUCAUCGGGGAUUAUAAAAUAUUGGGGAACCCAAUAAUCAUCGUUUUCAUAAGUCCUCUGCUUAUCCGGUUGGACCGCGGUCGGUAUCGGUGACUACUAUUUGGCCUCUUGGUUUGCGCCCAAAUUCUGUUCCUUCGAUGUUGCGAGUGUUGGUAUUGGAAUCACUUCUUCGACUGCAAACAUCUCUUUUGCGGCCGGUUAUUCCCCUUAGAUUUUCUUAACCCCCCCUCCCCCCCCCCCCCCCCAGUGUUGGGAAUUUUAGCACUUGAUGAAGAAUUGCACUGCCCUUAUGUUGUGGAUCCAUAUCCUUCCGAGAAGGGCGUUGUACCUCAUGUCUCCUUCGAUCACAUAAAACUUGGCCUCUCGUAUGGUUCCGGUGGUAUUGACCGGUAAUCUUAUCUCCCCUUUGGUGGUUUCACAUGCCAUGUUAAAAACGUUUAGAACUCGGACCGCAGGCACAAUUUUGUCUUGUAGACCGAGAUGCUCCACUACCCCCGACCGAAUGAUGUUGGCCGAUCUACUUGGAUCAAUCAACACACAUUUAAUUUAAGUUUUAUUUACGAGUACAGAUAUUACCAGUGCAUCAUUGUCAGGUUGCACGAUCCCUUCCGCAUCCUCGUCGCUGAAAGAUAAAAUUUCUUCUGGUAUAUAGUCUCGAUUUCGUUUCUCCCUAGUGAUGGAUACUUUGGUGUGUUUAAACACCGGCCACUAUGGUAUAUCGACUCCACCGAAGAUCAUAUUAAUGACGUGUUGAGGUUCGGUAUCUUCUUGUUCUGUCUGUUUGUUAGAAUCCAUGUUCCUAAAAUGAUUCUUGGCCCGGUCGCUCAAGAAUUCCCGAAGGUGCACAUUGUUGAAUAGUCGGGCUACUUCUUCUCUCAGUUAUCGACAAUCUUUCAUUCUAUGAACAUGAGUCCCAUGAUAUUUGCACAUCCGGUUAGGAUCCCGUUGAGCUGGAUAAGAUUGUAGAGGUCAAGGCCAUUUGGUAUCCUUGAUGCGCCCGAUAGCUGAUACGAUGGUGGCAUCAUCGACAUUAAAGUUGUAUUCUGAUAGCCUCAGUGCUUAUUUAGGCCUGAUGAACCCGUCGAAGCUAUUUUUGGUCAUGAGCCCCCGUUUUUUUCGACCUUGGUCAUUUCUCCUUUCGUUUCUUAUGGGGUUCCGCCCGGACCCACUGCUCAUCCGAUCUCCAUUAUAUGACAAAUAUCGAUCCCUGUUUGAACUUGGUUCACGAUCGAUGUCUCUCUUGACUCUGUCGAGGGUUCUGACAGGAUAAACAGACUCCGAAGGGGCCUCGAGUUGGUCAUCUUUGACUCUGAUUUUCAAUUGAUACUGGUUAUGUACAUCGUCCGAGGUAACGACAUGGUAUUCUAUCAUAUUCUGCUUCAGUUACUGUGAAGCCACCGAGCUUCGAAUAUUGAGUCCCUGAGUGAAAGCUUGAACAACCCAAUCAUCAGCAUCUGGUGGCAGAUCUAUUCGUUCCAUUUGAAAAAGGGACACGAAUUCCCUGAGCAUCUUGUGAUCCUUCUGUUUGACUUUGAAAAGGUCCGAUUUCCUGGUUUCGACCUUGAUGGCACCAACAUGCAUUUUUACGAAAGAGUCUGCAAGUAUAGCAAAUGAGUCAAUAGAAUUAGGAGAUAAGUUGUGAUACCAUAUCAUAGCUCCCUUUGACAGGGUCUCCCCAAAUAUUUUCAGUAGAACAGACUCGAUCUCGUCGUCUUCCAAGUCGUUCCCUUUGAUGGUACAUGUGUAAGAGGUUACAUGCUCGUUUGGAUCGGUCGUUCUGUUAUACUUAGGUAUUUCGGGCAUAUGGAAUUUCUUGGGGAUCAGCUUCAGAGCCGUGCUCGGAAGAAAAGGUUUUUGCACGAACUUCCUGGAAUCCAGUCCUUUCAAUAUCGGAGGUGCUCCUGGGAUUUGAUCUACCCUGAAAUUGUAGGUUUCUACCUUUUUGUUGCUCGAUUAGAUUUUUUUUCCCUGAUUCUAUUUGCUUUGUCAACUUCUCGAGCAUCUUUAUAAUCUCGGGGUUAGUACUUGAUUCUUAUUUAUUUGACCUUACUAUGACCGGUUCAUUUAUGCGGGUGACUUCACGGGGCAGACCUGGUUCAACCCUGCUCGACGCCUGACUUUGGCUCUGCAACUGAGCUAUCGCUACCUGUUGAGCUUGAGCAUUUCGAAGAUCAUCCGUAGGCUGACCCUGUCUUCUUUAUUAUUUUGUGUGUUUCGAGCUGCCGAUCGGGCCCCACCACAGAUGCUAUUUUCGGGGUUGGUAGGCAUGUUUGUGUCGAUAGCCAGAUGUGAAUUAACAUCAAUCAGAUCUGCGAGCGGAAUCCAACGGGAUCAACGGGUGGCCUUACGUUACCAGGCACCAUGUUGUUAUUCUUAUCUUGAUGACCGGAAUCGUUAUCGAUAUGUAGGGGUGCUAAUUAAGAGUUUGGCAUUUUUAGCCUGAAAUCAAAGACACUUCAAAGAGCAAGUGUAAAGUAGUGUGUGUUAUGGAGAUUUGUAUCAAAUAACCACUAAUAUCCUUAGCCCCAUGGUGGCCGCCAAACUGUUUACCCUCAAAAUCGGAUAACAAUUGAAUUUGUUAGUAGUUUAAAGGAUAUGCGGAUUAACUUUAUACAAAGCGAUAAAUUAGAUUGCAAUUGAAAUAAAUAAUAAUAAAUUUACCGUAAACCAUAUGAAUUGGAUGAUUUCAUCUUAUGUAAGCGAGCUACCCUUGAAAUGAAUGCACUUUUGUUGACACAAAGAUACCAAAGAGUAACAACUUAGAGAAUGUAUUGCUUAUUAGUGUAUGUUACAAUGCCCUCAAUGAAUUGUCAAAUCCCCCUUAUAUAUUAGGGGAGAUCUACUAUUUUAGGUAUUAUUUUACUGUUCUAUAAAAGGCAAAAGUCCUUAAUUUGCUGACCGUUGGUUCACUUUUUUGAGUCAUUCCGUGAUAUCUGCCAUAAUGAUUGGUUAAUAGCGAGAAUUACGGAUCUCUAUCGGAUGAGUUGGCAAAGCUUUCUUCGAGACCGUUAAAAACAUGACCGGUUAUGCCUUCGGUAAACUCGAGGGCAAAUCUGAUGGUUUCGAUAGCUAAUUUUGACAAUGCUUUGAGUUCGAUCUCAAUCACCGUGUUUCGAUUUUGGCUGAUUUUGUUGGAUGUUAGAUCGAUCUUCGAGUUCGACUUUACCCGAUCACAUAUAUUUCGAACCUGGCCUAACUAAGGAGUUUUGGAAGCUCGAUCAAAUAUCGAGCUCGAUUUUACCCGUAUUUUUUACCCGUAUACAUAAAUAAUGAUAGAAGUAAAUCAGUAUAUGGAUAAAGUUAUGUUGUUCCCCAACAGAAGAUGUGAAUUUUACGUUUUAGACAGUAUGUGGGAUCUACUUCUCCACCUCCUUGUGACCCACACAGUUCCUAUGCAAUAAACUUUUAAGACUUUCAUGGGUUUAUUUCAAAAUAUUUCUUUGUCGGCAAUAGGAGAAGAAUAUUCUUGAGGAAUUCAGUGCAAAGAGUCAAGCAUCUCAAUACAUUUCGUGAAAAAUGUAAAUAGUGAAGGAGGAGGAAGAAGGAGAAGAAGUUCGUGGAAAUGGAAGCGAUCAUGUGGCGCCAUUGUUGAAUCCUUUUAUCUUUUUUUUAGUUGCGAGUGUUUCGGAUACAACUUUUCUACUCUCUUAUGGUAGAGGUAAGGUCUGCAUACACACUACCCUCUCCAUACCUCACUUGUAGGAACUUACUAAGUCAAAGCGGAGCUAAAAUUUUCUAAAUUAUUAACUUGAAAAUAAUCAAUGAAUUGUUCAAGACAAAUAUAGAGUUUGAACUAUGGGUUUGAAUCAAUAAAACGGCUCCACCCUGCACUGGUUUUGUUGUAGUUGUUGCAUAUGCCGACAUUAAGUCUAUAUUUGCAAAUUUUUUAAAACAAGGACUAUGGCGAGGCUAUGAAACGAUCGGACCUACCAAUUGAAUGAUUUACAAAGAUUUUAUUAGAUUGAGGAAGCUUAUAGCAUUGAUCCAACACAAUUCCCAACUUUAAAAAGCUGGUGUGUGCCUGCUGCGAAGGUAAAAUGACCUUAUCUCCGAAAGAACAUCAAAACAAUGACAAGCUUACAAGCAAUUUUCAUCAAAAAGAACAAAGUUAAAGCAUCACUAAAAAUUCAAAAGCAAGAAGUUGAAGUAAUGCUAUGCCUUGUGACCAAAUGUGGUAAGUUGUUUUAGCCAAAAGGAGCAGUUAGCAGUGCACUUCUAUUAAUAAUAAUAAAAAAAAGACAAUCGGGUGCAAAAAGCAUCUUGUGUUCACGCAAUGCACAAGACCACUUCUAUUAAUAAUAAAAAAGACAGUCCGAUACACAAGGCAUCUCGUGUUCACAUAGUGCACAAGUCCACUUCUAUUAAUAAUAAUAAAAAAAGAACAGUUCGGUGCACCACCCGUGUUCACACAGUGCACAAGUACACUCCACUUCUAUUAAUAUUGGGUGAAAUUAAAAAAUAGCCAUAUUUACAAGUGAUAUUGAAAAAUAUCCACAAUUUCAAAAGUAAUCAAAAUUUAGCAACUUUUCAUGUAAAGAUAAAUCUGAACGAAAACACUGUUCAAAAUCCGGAAAAGAUUACAGCAUAAUAUACUGGACUUCCAGCAUAAUAUACUGGAGUUCCAGGAUAAUAUACUGGUCUGAUAUAAUAUGCUGGAAGUUCAUACACAAGUGCUCCACUCUCCAGUAUAUUAUGCUUGAACAUUCCGUGUGUUAGAGUUCCAGCAUAAUAUGCUGGAAGUUCAUAUACAGGUGCACCAAUGUCCAGUAUAUUAUGCUGAAACUUUUUGUGUUGCAGCAAAAUAGUGACUAUAUUUCAAUAACUUUGCAAACGCUGGCUAUUUUUCAAUAGUCCGAAAACUGACUAGCCCGUACUAUUUUCACAUUAAUACUAGAUGAAUAUGGUUCGUGCUUGCAUUCAUAUUUUUAUGCUUGGGGAAUUUACAUAGAAUACAACUCAUUUAAUACUUAUUUAAGUAUGUUACAAUUACUUUUAGAAAAUUACAUUAGGUACAACUUAUUUUAAAUUAUACAACUUUUAAUAUUCCUAAUAUAUCUCCCUUAAUAUUCUCUCACCUAAAAGUAUCCUUAUAAAUCUCUCUUGAGAUUCUCUCACCUAAAAAUAUCCUUAUAUCUAACUGUUGAGAUUCUCUCUCACCUAAAAUGUAUCUAUUAGUAUUAAUUAUUCUCCAAUUUCUCCAUUUUGUAUAUACCAAGCCUCUUCUCCUAUUAUUAAUAAGUAUCUGAUGUAUGCUAAUAAUAACUAUAAUAUAAAAUAUAUUAUAUAGUACAAAAUAAUAAGUAUAUAAUAUAACAUACCUUUAUUGUAUAAUAUCACUUUUAGUUAUCUAAUGCAUACAUUGAGAAAAAAAAAUCUAAUAUAUACAUUGAGAAAAAAAACUGAUGUAUACUACUAAUAAAUAUUGUAUACAAUAUAUUAUAUAUUAUAAACUUAUAUGAUAUUGGUAUAAUAUAAUACAAUAUACCUUCAUUGUAUAAUAGUAUUACUUUAGUUUAUCUGAUAUAUACUACUAAUAAAUAUAGUAUACAAUAUAUUAUACAAUAUAAACUUUUAUGAAAUUGGUAUAUAAUAUAUAAUACAUCACCUUUAUUGUAUAAUAUUACGUUAGUUCAUGUUGAAUUUUUUAUAUUAAAUAUUACAUGCUAUAUGUUAGUUAUGAUAUAUAUCUUGUUCUUUUUUUUUUUGGGUAGUUUCAUUUGAAGAAUAUUUCUGUCACGACCCCAAUUUUUUUCUAUAGAAUGUUGUGACGACACCUAGUCUCUAAGACUAGGUAAGCCUAACACUUACUAAAUUAACAGAAGAAUUCAACCAUCAACUGAUAAAUAUGAAAUAGUUUUUUUUAUAUACUACAUACAAUCCCAAAACUGGUAGUACAAGUCAUAAGCUCUACUGAGUUUGCUAGAAAAUCCCUAAAUACAACUAUUCAGAAUAGAAAUUAAACAGUACAAGUACAAUAUCAAAAGGUGACUUUGAGGCCUGCGAACGCGACGACAGGCUUUCCUUGAGUCUCCACAGCAAUACUCGGCCAGCUAGCUAAUAAUUAACAAUAUCCGAGGCACCUGGGUCUGCACAAAAAUAUGCAGAAGCGUAGUAUGAGUAUACCAUAACGAUAUCCAGUAAGUAUCAAGACUAACCUAGAUGGAGUAGUGACGAGGGACAAUCAAGAAACCCACUGGACUAAACACCUGAACAAGUAUAAAUGUAGAACUAAGAGGGAACAAUACCAAUAUAAAGUUAGGCAUGAUGACAAUAAUAAUACAAUAUUUGUAAUAGGGACUAAAGGCAACAGUUAACAACGAGAUACAACAUGUAAUAACACUGUAGAGUAAGCUGAACACAGUUCAAUCCAGUGAAAGCAAAUAAAGGAAAACAAGUGACAACUCAAUAGGAACAACCGCUUUCACACCAAGUUUACCCAAGAAUUUUCACGAGGUACCAAACCUCAAAAUCACAAAUCACGGCUCCCAAUUAGUGAACCCUAAUCAUUCGGCAUCUUGUGCCCAUAUUACAAUUCAUAACAGUACGGACGACUCACGUGCCAAGGGAGUGACAAUAUCUAAUAUCCACACGGACCACUCACGUAUCAAUAAUAAUCAUGACUCAUGACUCCACAGACAACUCACGUGCCAACAAGAUAACUCUCACACAUAAGGCAAGUACAUAGGAGUACAUGUAAAUGGUCAAAACAUCAAGAUUCAUCUUCUUAGACCGAUAUGGGUGAUUUAUUUAUGUGUAUGCUUGUGUAAGUGUCCUACCACAAAUUCAAGUCAACAAGUAAGAGUAGAGACAAUGAAUGGCACAUAAUAAAUGAUCACCACAAAAUGUACAAUGUAAUAAAGACAAGAACGAAAUUGAAACAACAAAUAGGAGAAUUAGACUAACUACACAGAACUAAGCAAUAAUGCAACACAGAGAAAGACAAUUAAUAGUAUGCUAAGGAAACAACAAUCAAAGACAAGUACAAAAGCAUGGGAAAAUGUCAACAAGAGUCACUACCGAGGUAUCUCCUCGUAGUAUCAAAUCAUAAAAUGAAUCACAAUCUUUUCUUUUAUCACCGCGAGAGCCUUUAUAUUUAGUUUUGAAACUUAUUUUUCCGGAAAUAGUAUCUCGCGUUUUAGCCCACUUUAUCACAUCGCAUGGCUUUUAGUAGUUCCCCUACUAACCACGUGUAUCAAGCCCACAUUAUCUUACCGCAUGCGUUUCAACACACAGACCUUAUAUCACCGCAUGCGUAUCAAUAAUAACAACAACACGUCAAAAACCUCGUACAAACAUCAUAACAAUAGCACGACAUAAACCUCAUGCAAACAUAAUAACAAUAACACGACAGAAAUAUAGUACAAAUAACAUAACAAUACCCUCAACAAUAACAUGUGUUUCAAAACAUAACAACUCAACAAAAUGAAUUUCACAAUAUGUGCCUAUAUACCACAAUAUUUCCUCAAAACAUUUUCAAUAUAACAACCACGCAUAGCCCUCGGCACAACAACACCGAAUACAAUAACAACAACAACAAUAACACAAGGAUAUGUCAAGUAAAUCAACUCAGGAACUUCAGAACACAAAGAAACGGUAGAACGAGCCAACAAGGAAAGACACAACAAGGAAUAAUGGUCUCAACAAGAAUAGAUCAACAAGGAAGAGAUAACAUGUAGCAAUGAUUCCACAUGAGAAUACAUCAACAAUGGAAGGAAUAACAAACUUAAAUUAAGGCUAAGCAACUACUGUCACGCCCUAAAACUACGUGACCAUCACCCGGUACUCUAUUAGACCCGAAUGAACCAUCUCAUAGAUUAAUACACAUCUAUAUGCCUAAUUGGAGUAUGCGAAAGCUUAUUCAAUUACAAUCAUUUUAAGAUAUACGACAAACAUGAUUAAUGUCUUUAAGUAAAUAUUUUUCCUUUGAAGGUACAACUUCAUAAAGAUAAAAAAAAGUUUCAUUCAUGCACGCCAUGUAAGUAAACAUAGGAUUACAACCCAAAAUGAAUACUAUUAUUGUCUAUGGAAUCUCUAUGACACGGAAUGGAAUAGUCAACCAAGGCAUAACCUGGUGGCUCAAAAGGAUAGUAAUAUAAUAAAGUCCUCCACGAAUACUAGUGUGGAGUCUCACCAAAUAAUGUCAACAGGGAAAUGUAGAGCUGUCUUAUCCAUGCGGCCCAAGCUGCUCACGUCCAGUCCCUGAAAAUAGAAAUAGAAAUGUGGUCGAAAGGCCUAAGCUCCACAUGCCUAGCACGAAUCAUGAACCAUUCCCCAAAAGAACAUAGGAUAAGAUUUAAUAAGAUAUAAGAUAUGCAAUAACAAUUGAUAUCGAAAAAGAAGCCUUCAUAUCAAUUAACAAUUUAGAAAGUAAAAUAAAAUAAUAUAGUAAAACAUAUUUCAAAGUCUUCCUUUAGCAUUGAUCUUUGCAAAAUCAUUUUUGAUUUUUCAUUUACCGGGAGUACUAUACCAUCACCGACACGAAACAAGGUCAACUAGGUUAUGUGCCUAGCGGCAAGUAUCAUAUACCCUACUUGCUCAGGUCGUCUCAUCGUUAUGCCACACGAAUCGACUUAGUCAUGCUAAUAAAGUAGCACAAUAGUAUCCCUAAUGGGAUGUACUCUGCCGUAGUUCCCAACCGUAAGGUAGGUUCUACGCCUACACCGACACGUGUAGUUUCAUGACCAAAUGAGGAAAAGUAUCCAAGGUCAAUCUCAGUGAAUUUAAGUAGCUUCCAAGACCUUUAAAUUUAUCAAUGAUGAUAUUUAUAGCCAGUCAACUAUUUGAGAAUAGUUAAAUCCAAGAUAUUUCACAACUCAUGUAUUUCCAUUUUAAAAAAAAAAUACUACAAGUGUUAUUCCCAAUUUAUUCAGUUUUUAAAAAAAAAUUAAGAUAAAACAUUUCAAAAAAAUAAUAUUCAUAGCACUUAAAUCUUUUAUGAUGCAAGAAUGGUACAAUUCCAACUCGCUCGUCCCCACAAGCUAGGACUCACAUUUAGAAACUCAAUUUAAUCGUGUUUCAAUAUGAGUAUGGAGAAACGUUCCGAGGGUAGUAAGUUUUAAUGUACCUCAAAUUGCUUCCAACCUUACCCCCAAAUGAUCCAAUAAUGCCAAUAAGUCACAAUCUACAUAUACAAACUCACAUAAUUUAAGAACGCAUCACAACGAUACCAACUAAACCAACUAAGUGUCUAACACUUAAGUCAAAUUUCAUAAGUUUAACAAAAAUCCUCAUGACAUCAUUUGAAGGUCAAUCCUUGAAUUUUAACUCCAACUCAUUCAUUAAACUUGUUAUGGGAUCUAGUCGUUCCACUAGAAACUCAAAAUAACAUCGUUCAAACAAGACCUAACACUAUUCAUCAUCUUUACCAACUGUGAUGACCUGAUAAGUCAUCUUAUAUUUUAGAACUUAAUUCUGCGUUACGAGGUCUCAAAAACCUCAUCUUAUCCUCUCGAUUUGUGUGCGCAGUUCGAGUGUUCUUCCGGAAGGUUUAUAUGUUAAAAACUGAUAAAAAUAAGAAUUUUUGCAUAAAAACUUUAGUUGAGUUGACUUCGGUCAACAUUUUUGGUCAACGGGCCUGGAUCCAUAUUUUAAUGGUCCCGGUGGGUUCGUAUCGAAAUAUGAGACUUGGGCGUAUUUCCGGAAUCGAAUUCGGAGGUCCCUAGCUUGAGUUAUGAAUUUUUGAGGAAAAUUAAAAGUCGGAAAAUCUAAGGUCUUUAAGAAUUGGUUGUUGUUUGACCUUGUUGAUAUCAGGUUCGUAUUUUGGUUUCGGAGCCUGGUAUAGGUCCAAUAUAAUAUAUAUGACUUAUCUGUAAAAUUUGGUGAGAAACGGAGUUUGUUUGACGUGGUUCGGACGACCGGUUGUGAAAAUAGGAGUUUUAAAGUGUUUUUGAGAAUUUCAUUUGAUUUGGUGCUAAAUUCAUAGUUUUAGGUGUUAUUUUGGCGAUUUGAUCACACGAGAAAGUUCGUAUGAUAUUUUUAGACUUGUGUGCAUGUUUGGUUUGGAGCUUCGGGGGCUCGGGUGAGUUUCGGAUAGGCUACAUGAUGUUUUGUACUUAGGAAAAAUCUGGUUUCUGCAGUUUCAGUGCCUUCUUGUUUCCUUCUUCGCGUUCGCGAAGGCACUCUCACAAACGCGUAGUAGAAACUGGGCUGGCUGAAUUUUGCUUCUUCGCGAACGCGAAGGCUGGGUCACGAACGCGGAGCGAUGGGGACUUUACCCUUCGCGAACGCGACCAGCUCAACGCGAACGCGUAGUGAUAUUGACCUGGGGGAGGGGGUCAGUCACUCUUCAUCGCGAACGCGAGCAAGGACUCGCGAACGCGAAGGCCAGGGAGGCGUAACCUUCGCGAACGCGAUAGGAGUUUCGCGAUCGCGAUCGCGUAAGUUUGGCAAGCUCUCCUCUUCGUGAACGCGACAGUGUCCUCGCGAAUGCGAUGAACACUGUCACCUAGCUAUUAAACAGUCCCAUUACGGGACUUAAGCCAUUCUUUCACAUUUUCAAAAGCUAGACGGCCUAGAGGCGAUUUUCAAAAGACAUUUUCUUCCCCAAAGUGUUGGUAAGUGAUUCUAAACCAUAUUCUUUCAAUUAUCCAUUACAUUUUAUGAAUUUUCAACCUAAAAUCUAGAGUUUCAUGGUAGAGUUGAGGGUUUUGGGUAGAAACUAGGGAUUUGAAAAAAAAAAAUGGGGAUAUAGACCUCAAAUUGAGGUCGGAUUCCAAAAUCAAUUAUAUAUCCGGGCUCGGGGCUGAAUGGGUAAAUAGAUUUUGGUUCGAACCUCGGGUUUUGACAAAGCGAGCCCGGGGUUGAUUUUUGACUUUUUGGAGGAAAGUUUGGGAAAUCUAAAUUUAUGCAAUGUAAUUGAUUCCUUUAGCAAUAUUUGAUAUUAUUAAGUCAUUUUUGAAUAGAUACGAUGGUUUGGAAGUGGGUUCUAGAGAAAAAGCUAUGAUUGAGUAUUGAGUAGCCUUCGGAGCGAGGUAAGUGUCGUGGUUAACCUUGGCUUGAGGGAUUAGGUAUUAUUCGCUUAUUUGCUACGUCUUUGUAUGUUGAGUACAACGUAUAGGUGAGGUGACGAGUACCUAUGUGUUGUUGUCGAGUCGUAACAUAUGAGUGAGUCUUAUUAUUGUAAUCGUUGCAUUCGUUGAUCAUAUUGUUCAUGAUUAGACUAGCUAUUUCUUAUGUUGAACAACUCUUAUUAUGUUUUACGAAAAUUGGUAUUGAUUGGGUAUUGACCCAAAGUUGAGGUUAGUAACAUGGAAUUGAAUCUUGAAGUAAGACUUGUUUUUGAUAUUUCUAUCUCCUUGUUGUUACUGUUCAUUGUCUUGGUGAGGGAGAGUGUUAAAGCAGGAAGGGUGAUGCCGUGCAACGUUUUGUGAGUGAGUGAUAAUGCACGAAGGAUGAUGUUGUGUCAUGUUAUGAGAGAGUUAAUGCACGAAGGGUAAUGUCGUGCCGUUUCUAUUGUUUCUUAUGGUAGGGUUGAAAGUAUAAGCACGAAGGGUGAUGUCGUGCACUUUCUUUUACUAUGUUUACUUGUUUCUUUUUUGUUAAAGACAUGUCGAUUGAUCAUGUUCUCAUUCCUGUUGUGAUUCCUUUCCAUGUAAUCCCCUCAGCAUGUCCCCUUCCCAAUAUUUCUUGCCUUGCUUCUUUAGUUAUUUUUAUUAUUGUAUAUAUUGAUAUAUAUUGCACAGGUUUAUUUGUAGGUGUCUUAUCCUAGCCUCAUCACUACUUCGCCAAGGUUAGACUCGAUACUUAUCAAUACAUGAAGUCGGUUGUACUGAUACUGCACUCUGCACUUUCUGUGCAGAUUUUGGUACCGGCUCGGGUUGAUCGAGAUUUCAGUUAUUGAACCCGCUAUCCGGAGACUCAAGGUAGAUCUGUCGACGUUCACAGACUUUGAAGUCCCUGUCUAUCUUUUCUGUUUUAAUGUUCUUUCAUUCAAACAGUUGUAUUUCUCUCAGACUAUUACUUGUAGUAAAUUCUAGAAUGCUCGUGAAUUGUGACUCCAGAUCCGGGUGGUAGUAAUUAAUGCAGUUUUUAUACUAUUCCGCACUCACUAUAUUUCAUCUUAGCUAAUUUGCUGUUAUUUACUGAAUGGAAAAAGGAUUGGUUUAAUAAUUCUCUAACGUUGGGUUGCCUAGCAAGUGAAAUGUUAGGCGCCAUCACGGUCCGACGGUGGGAAUUCCAGGUCGUGACACCAACCAACUCUUCAAUUUCAAGACUAGCUUCUAGGAUUUUAUGAAUAGAUAUUUAAAUACAAAUCUAACUUCAUAAAUAUACUCUACUACACCCAUGGAGUAUAGUACAUAAGAUUGGAGUGAAGAAAUUACCUCUUUGUCAAACCCUAAAAGUUUCAAGAUUUGAGUUUCUUGAAAUGUCCUUGAGAUUAUCUUCAAAAAUUUAUGAAUCCCACGAUGUUGGAGGGUUAAGAGACAUAAUAAAUAAAUCAAAUCUAUCAAAGAAAGACAUUUAAUUCUUACCUUGAAGAUGUAUUAAUGGUAAAGAGAUCCCCCUUCUCUCUAAUCCCCAAGACCAAGUCCAAAAUAAUAUAAUUUCUCUCUAUGAAAUGCCUAUAAAAACUUCAGUUGUGGGUUUUAAAUUUCGGGUGCUGAGUUGCAAGCCUUCGCUAUACUUCAUUGUCUCACGCUGGAUUCCAAUUUAUUCUAUCACUGAAGCAACAUUUUGGUUUUCAACUUUAAUCAUUCCAUUUUGCACUUAAUAUGCUUGCCUUUUAUCUUUCAUAAUUACUUCCAUUAUUCUAUUAUCUUUGGUAUUUAAUUAAUUUCCAUGUCCCCCCUUUUUAUAUCCUGGUCCCCUUUAUCUCUUUGUUGGCCAACAACUUUCUUAGUUUUCUAAAUCCUUUCUCGUUGCCAACUGAAGGCUAGGAUUUUUAAUCCUUGUUUUCUUAUUAAAUUCCAACUCUUCAAGUUGGUUACAUACCAUUGAAUUCUCAAAAUUUCAGCAUCCUAUGACGUAGAAACUUGAUAUACUCCAAAUGCAUUUGCUGACCUUGUAACCUCCACUAAUUUAAUGAUUAACUAUCGACAUUAUCCCUAAGUAUUCCAAUAACUUUCUUCCACUCGAAUAAUCAUGUGGCUCAGAUUUAAUUAUAUUGUAUUCUCAAGCUCUAAAUUAGUAGGAAUUAACUAAAAAAAUUUACGGGGCUAUACAUUCUCCUCACUUAGAAAUAUUCGUCCUCGAAUGUAAAUUCUUGGUCGUGUUAAAGUCUUAAAGCGUAAUCUCCAAGCCUUUUGCUUACUCCUUAACUCUUUAAGGCUUCGAAAUUUGACUAACUCUCCAAAUUUUUAAGAAAUUUGGCAGAAUUUCCUUCGUUAAUAGGCUUAUCCCAAAAUUCCAACCUCACAAUGAGCCAUAAGAAUAUAAUAUAAAAGGCCCCACAUGGCUCUACUCAUUGCAUCUACCUCAAUGAAUACAUCUGUGACUUCAUUUAUCUCCAGACACCAGUACAUAGCCUCUCCCAACAUCACAACAAUAAAAUUUAUUACCAUAAGACAAGUCUAACAACCAUGUGCAAUAGAUAAAUCAAUCAAUCACUUGCCCCAUGGAAGUAAAUUAUAAUAAACUCUAAACUCAAAAUUUCUAAAAAUAAUAGUCAUACCUGAAGUCGCGAAUAAGUAUAGAUAUCAGAUUUUCAUAUCUUCCUCGGCCUCUCGAGUAGCCUCCUCGACGUCAUGAUUACGCCAUAACACUUUAACUGAAUCUAUGUCCUUAGUCCUCAACCUACGGACUUUCCUAUCAAGAAUCUCAACAUGUUCUUCAUCAUAAGUUAAGCCGUCAUUUAUUUCUACUACCUCCGUGAAACGAUGUGAGCAGGAUUGGGCACAUACCCCCGUAGCAUCGAUACAUAAAAAACAGGAUGAACCAAAGUCAUCAAUGUAGGUAACUCCAGCUUGCAGGCUACUUCCCCAAUCCUUUUCAAGAUACGAUAUGGACUAAUGAAUCUAGGACUUAGCUUGCCCUUCUUCCCAAAUCUCAUAACCCCCUUCAUUGGCGAUACUUUCAUGAACACUUGAUCACCCUAUUUAAACUCCAACUUACGUCGAUGUACAUCAGUAUAGCUUUUUUGUCGACUCUGAGCAGUCUUAAGCCAUUGUUGAAUCAAAGCCACCUUCUCCAAGGCAUCAUGUACAAGAUUAGGACCAAGUAGUCCUACCUCAGUCGGCUCAAACCAUCCAAUAGGUGAUCUACGACGUUGUCCGUACAAAGCCUCAUAUGGAGCCAUCUGGAUACUAGCAUGAUAGCUAUUAUUGUAGGCAAAUUUGAUCAGAGGUAAGUGUUCAUCCCGAUUCCCACCAAAAUCAAGGACACAAGUCUGCAACAUAUCCUCAAGCAUCUAAAUAGUUCUCUCAGCUUGUCCGUCAGUCUGUGGAUAAAAAGCGGUACUCAAAUUGACACUUGUACCUAAUCCUUCCUGAAAGGACUACAAAAAAUGAGCAGUAAAUUGGGCCCCUCCAUCAGAUAUAAUGGAAGCUAGAAUAUCAUGAAGUCUGACAAUUUUUUUCAAGUAUAACUUAGCGUAAUGCGGUGCCGUGUCAGUCAUCUUUACCGGUAAGAAAUGCACCGACUUUGUAAGUCGGUCUACAAUCACCCAAAUUGAGUCAUGCUUCAAGAAGGUGCGAGGCAAACCCACCACAAAGUCCAUAUUAAUCAUCUCCCACUUCCAAAGUGGAAGCUCAAUAUUUUGAGCCAAUCACCAGGUCUUUGAUGCUCAGCUUUCAUUUGCUGGCAAUUUAAACAUCUAGCCAUGAAGUCUGGAACGUUUUUCUUCAUUCGAUUCCACCAAUAGAUCUCCCGCAAGUCCUUAUACAUUUUUGUGGACCCUGGAUGUAUAGAAUAUUUCGAGUUGUGUGCCUCAGACAUAAUUUUAUUACGAAGUCCAUCAAUAUCUGGCACGCACAAGCGACCGUUCAUCCUCAACACCCCAUCCUCGUCAAGAGAAAAAGCGAGGAUAUCUUUAGAUUGUACACCAGUUCGAAUAUCCACCAAAUUUGGAUCUUCAAAUUGCUUAGCCUUGACACGCUCAAUAAGAGAGAAACGUGUUAUGGCACAAAUAAAAAUCUCUUUAGCUAUCGAUAAAUGCACCAAAGCACCUCCUGACUUUCGGCUUAGUGCGUCGGCUACCACAUUCGCAUUUCCCGGAUGGUAAUGAAUGCUUAAAUCAUAAUCCUUCAAUAGUUCUGACCAUCUCCUUUGCCUCAGGUUUAAUUUACUCUACUUGAAUAUAUAUUGCAAGCUUUUAUGGUCGGUGUGUACUUCACAGUGCUCACCAUACAAGUAAUGCCGCCAAAUAUUCAAAGCAAAUACAACCGCGACAAGUUCCAAGUCAUGGGUCAGAUAGUUCUUCUCAUGGAUAUUCAACUGUCUAGAAGCAUAAGCGAUAACCUUACCUUUCUUCAUCGAGACACAACCCAACCCAACUCUAUAGGCAUCACAGUAAAUCGUAAAGUCACCCAAACCUGUUGGCAACGUCAAUACCGGCGCCGUAGUCAAUCUAUCUUUCAACUCUUGAAAACUUCUCUUGCAAGCAUUCGACCACUAAAACUUCGCAACUUUCUGUGUCAACUUGGUUAACAGAGAUGCAAGAGUAGAAAAACCUUCAACAAACCGCUGAUAGAAACUCGCUAAUCCCAAGAAACUACGGAUCUUUGUCGGUGUAGUUGGUCUAGGCUAAUUCUUAAUCGCUUCAACCUUUUGAGGAUCAACCUUAAUACCUUCAUGAGAUACCACAUGACCCAAGAAUGCCACAGAUUCAAGACAAAAUUCACACUUAGAGAAUUUGGUAUAUAACUCAUUUUCCAAAAGCGUCUGCAAUACUAUUCUCAAAUGAUUGGCAUGCUCCUCUUGACUUCGCGAAUACACUAAUAUGUCAUCAAUGAAAAUAAUCACGAAUCUGUCAAGAAAUGGGUUGAAAACCCGAUUCAUUAGAUCCAUAAAGGUUACGGGUGCAUUUGUUAGCCCAAAUGACAUCACCAAAAAUUCAUAAUAUUUGUAGCGGGUCCGAAAAGCCAUUUUGGGAAUAUCCUUCUCUCGAGUUUCAACAUAUGAUACCCCGACCUUAAAUCAAUAUUCGAGAAGAACUUCGCCAUUUACAACUAGUCAAACAAGUCAUCUAUUCGAGGCAAUGGAAACCUAUACUUGAUGGUCACUUUAUUAUAUUGCAUGUAGUCAAUACACAUCCUCUAAGAACCAUCUUUCUUUUUCACAAAUAACACUGGCGCACCCCAAGGUGAUACACUAGGUCUAAUAAACCCUUUAUCCAGUAAAUCUUUCAAUUGCUCCUUCAAUUAUCUUAACUCGGCUGGAGCCAUUUGGUAUGGGGAAAUAGAUAUUAGUUGUGUAUCUGGCACCACAUCUAUCCCAAUGUUGAUAACCCGAUCUGGUGGAAUACCCAGAAGCUCAUCAAGAAAAAUAUCAAGAAACCCGUUAACAAUUGGCACAGAUUGAAUGCUUAUUACCUCCGCAGUUGUGUCAAUAACUCUGACUAAAUGAUAAAGACAUCCCUUGGUGAUCAUCUUCAUCGCCUUAAGGUAUGAAAUAAUUUUACCUCGAGGCUCAGCAAUAUUGUCUUUCCACUCACGAACUGGAUCAUUAGGAAACUCAAACUUGACCACUUUAGCAUGACAAUCAAGAAUGGUGUAACACUUGUAUAAUCAAUCCAUCCCUAUAAUCACAUCAAAGUCAAUCAUUUCUAGCUCAAUGAGGUCUUUAGUAGUUUCUCAAUGUUGAAUUAUAAUCACACAACCCCUAUAAAUGUGGGAGGCAAUAACAAAAUCUCCCACCGGAGUCAACACAAAAAAUGGUUCAAGUAGUUGUUCUGGCUCUAUCCCAAAAUCCAAAGCAAAGUACAGAGUAACAUAGGAAAAAGUAGAUCCAGGAUCCAUAAGAGCAUAAGCAUCUAGAUCAUAAACUGUAAGUAUAACUGUGAUGACAGCAUCUGAAGCCUCUGCAAAAGAGCAAGUAGGCAUGGCAUAGAAAUGAGGAUCAGUUCCCUGAGAAGUAGUAGCUGUCUGUGGAGCCUUACCCGCAUUGCGCCCGUUGUGGGCCCCAUUACCCUUAGGUGGGGGCGGUGUAACUGAAGUAGUAAUCAUAGAAGGUGUCGGGUGAGCUCUCGAACCCUAUUGCUCAUUAGGGCAAAACUUUCGGAUAUGACUCAUCAACCCGCAACCAUAGCGCGGACCACGGGGUCCCCUGGUAACACUAGGUUGAUGCUGAUGAGAACCCACACUACUCUGACCCUGCUGUGCAGUACAAUGCUCACUCUGAACGAACCUAGACUGGCCUCUUUGUCCGGAACUGUAUGUCACUGGAGGGCUACUGAAAGUUGUCUGCAUCUUAGACUGCGGUGGGCCAGAUGAUCCUCUGUUGCUCUGCCCCUUGAUCGAACUAGGCACUGCACUGAAAGUGCCAAAAUUCUGAGCCUUUUUGUUUUGCUCCCUAUUGGCCCUCUCCUCCUGAUGAAUUCCCUCGAGAUCCAUUGCUAGAUUUAUAAAGUCAGUAAAGGUAGUGUUUCUUCUCCCACUAGCCGUAUCUCUUCUGAUGCUCGGAAUCAAGCCACGAGCAAAGCGAUCAAUCUUCUCAUCCUCGGUGGGGAUGAGACGGGAAGCAUAACGGGAUAACUUCUCGAAUUUGAUGUUAUACUCAAGGACAGUCAUGGUAUCCUGCUUUAAGGUCUCAAACAAUAUCACAAGGGCAGCUCUCACUCAUGGUGGUAACCACUUCUUAAUGAAGAUCUUCUUAAAUUCUGCCCGAAUCAUUAGAGGUGCAUACUCUGGUUGACUUUACUCUACCCCUUUGAACUAGAGGUCAACAAUGUCUUUCAACUGGUGGUAGUCUUUAACUCCCAGCAAAGUAGUAGCUUUCUCAACUUCCUCCAAGAAGUCUUGAGGGUCUGCACUGGGAUCUAUACCAGUGAAAACUGGCGGCUUAAGUCUCACAAAUUUCAUGGCCAACUGUGCCACGUCCUCAACCGCUGGUGCUCUUAUUCCUCAUUGUUGGAUUGCCUGAAUACCCACUUGAAGGUUUUGUUGGGUCUGCAUAGCCAUGAGGUCAACAAAAGUAUUCAUAGCCUUUCUAACAUCAGUGAGGGUCUUUUCCAAGUGAUUUGGUUCUGGAGGUGGAGCAGGUUCCUCGUCAACUUCUUCCUCGAGCUCUUGGAUCAUCCUUGAGCCAUUAGAAUUGGCACAGUUCAUGCUCUUGCAGCCUUCAGAGGUCAGCCCCUAGAUCUAGCAGGAACCCCUCCUGAAGCCGCAUCACGUAUAGGAGCAGCUUCCUGAUUCAUGUUACCGCCACGCAUGUUCACCAUCUUCUGCCAAUUGAUAUAGCGCACGAGUUAGGACAUAUUUCUUAGUUCUAUUACACGAUUCUAGAAUAAGAAGAAAGAGUGAAGUAUUCUUAUAAUGUCCAUAUAGACUUCUCGAUAUAGGUGUGGUGCACAACAUACCAAUAAAGAGAACUCUACCAGACACGAUUCCAUAAACUUCCUGGGAUUCAAAUUAGAACCUAGGGUUCUGAUACUAAGUUUGUCACACCCUAAAACUACGUGACCGGCACCCGAUACUUUAUCAAACCCGAGUGAACCAUCCCAUAGAUUAAUACAUAUCUAUAUGCCUAAUAGGAGGAUGCAAAAGCCUCUUCAAUUACAAUCAUUUUAAGAUAUACGACAAACAUGAUUAAUGUCUUUACCCAUGGAGUAUAGUACAUAAGGUUGGAGUGAAGAAAUUACCUCUUUGUUAAACCCUAAAAGUUUCAAGAUUUGAGUUUCUUGAAAUGUCCUUGAGAUUAUUUUCAAAAAUCUAUGAAUCCCACGAUGUUGGAGGAUUAAGAGAUGUAAUAAAUGAACCAAAUCUAUCAAAGAAAGAUAUUUAAUUCUUACCUUGAAGAUGUAUUAAUGGUAAAGAGCUCCCCCUUCUCUCUAAUCCCCAAGAUCAAGUGCAAAAUAAUAUAAUUUCUCUCUAUGAAAUGCCAAUAAAAACUUCAGCUGUGGGUUUUAAAUUUCGGAUGCUGAGUUGCACGCCUUUGUCACGACCCAAAAAUCUCACCUUUCAUAAUGGCGCCUAUCUUAAUACUAGGCAAGCCGAGAAUCUCAAUAAACCACCAUAUCUUUUAAGUUUGAAAAUAAAAUAAUUAAAUUCAGCGGAAAAAAUCUCACAAAUACAAUUAUAACACUCCCAAAAACCGGUUCACUAAGUAUAUGAGCAUCUAAAUGAAUACAAAGUCUGACUGAUAAAAAAUAACUAAACAGGAAGGGAAUCAAGUCUGCGGAUGUCAAGCAACUACCUUGAUAGUCUCCAACAGAAAUAACUAUGAAAUCUAGCAGUCGUCGUAUCUGGGAGCACCUGGAUCUGCAUACGAGGUGCAGAGUGUAGUAUGAGUACAACCAACUCAAUAAGUAACAAGACUAACCUCUGGGCUGAAAAUAGUGACGAGCUCCGCAGGUACAAUUCAGUAUAAAUAAUGGUACAAAAUGUAGGCAUGCUUUCAAGUUCAAUAGUUAAACUCAGUACAAGUGGAAUAGAUCAAUACUGCAUGAUAUGAGGAAUAUGACAUCUCAGUAGAAAGACCUCAUGUAAAUACUGGUCACAAAUAUAUUUGGUCACUCGGUACUGCUUAUGGCCAAUCCAGCCCAGGGAUACUCCAUCCCGUAUAUAUAUACAUAUCGGCUGACAGUCAGUCACUCAGUACCGUAUAAGGCCAAUCAAGCCUUGAGGUAAUUUAUCCCCAAUGUACAUGAUACGAACAAGAUCCAUGUCUAGGAAAAAUUCAUCACAACAUAUAAAUAAGUAAGGCAAAUCCAUGCCCUGGGAAGUCCAUCCCGAAUAUAUAUAAUCAUCGUAAGUGAGGCAAGUCCAUGCCCUGGGAAGUUCAUCCCGAAUAUAUAUAAUCGUCUACGCUCACUGGGGGUGUGUACAGACUCCGGAGGGUCUCCUUCAGCCCAAGCGUGAUAUAAAGCCUAUAUGGCCUACUGCAGGCAGGCAGUCCCGAUCCGUAUAAUAAUAAAGCCUAUAAGGCCUGCUACAGGCAGGCAGCCCCGAUCCAUAAAAUAAUAAAUCCUAUAAGGCCUGCUGCUGGCGGGCAGCCCCGAUUCAAUAAUAAUAAUGUAUAAAGCCACUAUGGCCUGCUGCAGGCGGGCAGUACCGAUCCAUUUAAUGCUAACAUAUAUAAAGCCAAUAUGGCCUGCUGCGGCGCGCAGCUCGAUCCCAUAAAUAUCCUCACAAUGGACGAAUAUGACUGAGUGUGAAAUGUAUAUUUUUGAAAUAAUUAAUUCAACAGCAAUACGACCCCAUGGGUCCCAAAAUAUUGGCACAUAGCCUAAACACGAUAUUUAAUAAGAGCCUCGGCUCAAUUUCUCUAACAAGUGGAAUAUGUUCAGAUAAUAACAUGAUUCAUUAAUUUUUACAACUGCACAUGAUUUAUUCAAGACAUAAUUUAUGUGGUGCACAUCUACAUGCUCGUCACCUAUCGUGUGUGUCACCUCCAAACAAUUUAUAUCAUACCAAAUUUUGGGGAUUCAUACCCUCAGAACCAAGUUUAAAAAUGUUACUUACCUCAAACCGUGAAAUUCUUUACUCUGCCAUGCCUUUGCCUCGCAAAUCAGCCUCCGAAUACCUCGAGUCUAGUCUCAAAUAAUUUGUUUCAGUCAAUACAAAUACAGAAAUUUAUUCCAUAUGAAAAUAUCAAUUUUCCAACAAAAUCUGAAAUUUAACUCAAAAUUUGCCUAUGGGGCCCACGUCUCGUAACCCGACAAAAGUUACAAAAUCCGAAAGUCUAUUCAAUCAUGAGUCUAAUCAUAUAAAUUUUACCAAAAUCCGACCUCAACUCGACCUCCAAACCCUCAAAUCUUAUUUUCAAAUCCCUAGGUUCAAAUCCCCGAUUUACACCUCAAAAACACAUAAUCUAGUCGAAUUAUUCGAUGAUAAUUUAAUAUUAUGGAGUAGAAAUGAUCACAACUGACUUACCUCAAGUUUCCCUUGAAUUCUCUCUGAAAAUAGCCCUAAAAUCCGUGCUUGAAGGUCCAAAAAUGGCAAAACUCGGAACUCCUCCCAUUUUAUUCUGUCCUAGGCUUGUCGCACCUGCGACCAGAUUAGCCGCAUCUGCAGUCUCGCAGGUGCGACAAAAUUUUCGCUCCUGCGAUCGCUCAAAAUACUCCCUCUGCUUCUGCACGUUCCCUUUCGCACUUGCGGCCUCACAGGUGCUGUAAAAUGCUCGCACCUGCGCACACUGCCUCACCAAGCGCCCUUGUGCUUCUGCGAUGGAAGGCUCGCUUCUGCGAGCUCGCACCUGCUAUGGAAUUUCCCCAGGUGCGAUUGCAUUAGAUGGCAGAAACUUCAGCUUUUCUUCCAAGUCCGAAUUUGGUCCGAUGACUACCCGAAACUCACCCGAGGCCUCCGGGACCUCAACCAAAUAUACCAACAAGUCCUAAAACAUCAUACGAACUUCGUUGAGUCUUCAAAUCACAUCAAACAAUGCUAGAAACACAAAUCACACCCCAAUUCAAGCCUAAUGAACUUUGAAAUUUCCAAAUUCUAUAUCUUGUGUCGAAACACAUCAAAUCAAUCUGAAAUGACGUCAAAUUUUGCAUACAAGUCAUAAAUGAAAUAACAGAGCUAUGAAAAUUUUCAGAACUGGAUUUCGACCCUGAUAUCAAAAAGUCAACUCCCCGGUCAAACUUUCCGAAAAUUUAAUUUUCGCCAUUUCAAGCCAAAUUCCACUACGGACUUUCAAAAAAAAAAAUCGGAUACGUUCCUAAGUCCAAAAUCACCAUACAGAGCUAUUGGAAUCAUCAAAACUCCAUUCUGGGGUCGUUUACAUAUAAGUCGAUAUCCGGUCACUAUUUUAACUUAAGCUUUAAACCUUGAAACUAAGUAUUCCAAUUCAUUCCAAAACCUCACCGGACCGAACCAAUUAACCCGGUAAGUCAUAAAAUAAUUAUAAAGCAUAAAUUGAGCAGUAAAUAGAAAAACGAGGUUAUAAUACUCAAAAUGACCGGUCGGGUCGUUACAGCCUUCGCUGCACUUCACUAUCUCAUGCUGGAUUCCAAUUUAUUUAAUCACUGAAGCAACAUUUUGGUCUUCAACUUUAAUCAUUCCAUUUCCCACUUAAUAUGCUUGCUUUUUUAUCUUUCAUAAUUACUUCCAUUAUUCCCUUAUCUUUGAUAUUUAAUUAAUUUCCUUGUUCCCCCUUUUUAUAUCAUUGUCCCCUUUGUCUCUUUGUUGGCUAACAACUUUCCUAUUUUUCUAAAUCCUUUCUCGUUGCCAACUGAAGGCUAGGAUUUUUAAUCCUUGUUUUCUUAUUAAAUUCCAACUCUUCAAGUUGGUUACAUAUCAUUGAAUUCUCAAAAUUUCAGCACUUAUGACAUAGAAACUUGAUAUACUCCAAAUGCUUUUGAUGACCUUGUAACCUCCACUAAUUCAAUGAUUAACUAUCUACAUUAUCCCUAAAUAUUCCAAUAACUUUGUUCCACUCGAAUAAUCAUGUAGCUCAGAUUUAAUUACAUUGCAUUCUCAAGCUCAAAAUUAGUAGGAAUUAACUAAAAACAUUUAUGGGGCUUUACAAUUACGGAAGAUAUAAUAUUAAUUUUAAUUAAGGUUAAGCAAUUACGGAAGAGAUAACAACAAAUUCAAUUAAGGCACAUAAGGAUUCAAUUAGAAAUAAGGGUAAAACAUGUAUCAAAUAAAUUUCAAAUACGACACGUAAGGGUAAAUUUAGUAAGUGGAGGAUUUAGCAUGAUAAAAUAACUUCAUAUCUAAUGAACAUAAGAACCUAAGGCCCUAAAUAGUCAAAUUUCUAUAAAUAAGCCCGAGCACGUACUCGUUACCUCGCGUAUACGACCUUUACAUGAAAUAAUUAGCACAAAUUGCUCAAAUUCUAAGACGUAAUUCCCCCACACAAAGUUAGGCGAGAUACUUACCUCAAAGAAGUUAGACCGAUACUCUAAAAUAAAUUUUUCGAGUGAAACAACCUCCGAGCGGCUCAAAUAUAGCCAAAAUAACUUCAAAUCAUAAGUAAAACUCAUAGAAAAUAAUUCAGGAUAAUAAAGGUUCAAUCUUUAAUAAAAACUAAAAAGUCAACCCCGAGGCCCGCACUCGGAACCCGAUAAAAUUUAUAAAACCCGAACACCCAUUCCGAUACGAGUUCAACCAUACCAAAAUUAUCAAAUUCUGAUAUCAAUUCGUUUUUCAAAUCAUCAUUUUACACUUUUGAAAGAUUUUACAAAUUUUUCCAAACUUCCAACUUAACUCUCUAAUGUAAUGAUAAAAAUAAAGAUAAAAUCAUGAAAUAAAAUCAAAACCAGGUAAAGAUCACUUACCCCAAACAACCACGUGAAACUCCCCCUAAACAAUCGCUCAAAUUCGAAGUCUCUAGCUCAAAAGAUGAAAAAUUGACAAAACCCACAAUUUUGGAAAAUAUAUUCUUCUGCUCAGUGAUUUACAAAUUUCGAUUACGGAAAUGCAAUUGCGAUCGCGAAGAAGGAAAUGACUACUGCCCAGAAAUUGUACUACGCGAUCGCGAACAAAUGCAUGCGAUCGUGAAGAAGGGAACAACAAAUGCCCCCAAGAAAUGUACUACGCGAUCGCGAACCAUAACAUGCGAUCGUGAAGGAGAAAAUAUACCAGCUGCUAAGGUUAUGCUACGCGAACGCGGAACUGUGAAGGCGAAUGCGAUGAAGGAGGAUACACACGUACGCGAUCGCGCGCAGAAUAAUGCGAAAGCGAAGAGGAAAAGAUCCAGUCACCAGAAUAGCCUGCGCGAACGCGGAAUGAACUUCACGAUUGCGUAUAAGGGAACACCAGAUAUUAGAUUAGCCAUCCAAAACAUGAGAAAAUAGCCCGCAACCCAUCUGAAACACGCCCGAGGCCCUCGGAACCCCAUCGAAACAUACCAACAAGUUCCAUAAUAUAAGACAAACCCGCUCGAGGUCUCAAAUCACAUCAAACAAUAUUAAAACUACGAAUCACACUACAAAUCAAACUUAUGAAAUUUCAAAUCUUUUAACUUCAAAAACCCGUGCCGAAACAUAACAAAUCAACCUGGAAUGACGUCAAAUUUUGUAUGCAAGUUCUAAAUGACAUAACGAAGCUAAUCCAACUCUCUUAAUCACAUUCCAACCCCGAUACCAUCAAAGUCAACUCCCAGUCAAACCUCUCAACCUUCCAAAAUUUCAACUUUCUAAUUUUUACCGAAAUGCUUCAAAUUACCCUACAGACCUCCAAAUCCAAAUCCGGACGCACGCCUAAGUCCAAAAUUAUCAUACAAAACUAUUGGAAUCAUCAAAAUCCCAUUUCGGAGUCGUCUACACAAAAGUAAAAACUCCGGUCAACUCUUACCGCUUAAACUUCUAAAACAUGCAUCCUUCUUCCAAAUUGAUCUAGAUGAUCCGAAAACCGAACUUGACCACACACGCAAGCCAUAACACUUAAUACGAAUCUACUCGAGACCUUACGCUGCUGAAUGGGACGCUAAUUCUCAAAACGACCAGUCAGGUCGUUAUAAUUUCUCCUACGGGAAGCGGUGAUUAUUGUUCCUCUAUAUGUAGAUUUAAGAAAACUGCCAUCAACAAUGACGAUUGGUUUACAAUAAUCCUACCCUUUGAUCGAUGCAUAAAUAGCUACAAAUAAAUAUAAGAAUGAUCCAUCAUCAGAAUUGAUCAAAAUCCCUUCGACAUCAAAUUUAACAUAUCUGCGAUCGUCUUACCAUACUCCAUUGUAUUGAAUCAGAGUUGGUAUAUUCACAAUUGUUUCUUAGAGUACAGUAUCUUACUUUAAGUAUAUCAAGAUGGAGAAUCAGAAAGAGACACAAUGGAAGAAUCAAUACCUUUUUACGAACUACUUCUAUGUAGUACCUAUUUUUAGGGAAUAUGAAGCGUUGGUUAUGAGGUAAUGUUGUAGUAGUAAUCUAGUAUGUUUAUAGUGAUAAUCAAUACUUAACAAAUUGGAGAAUAUUUAGGGAAUAACUAUACGUUUCAGAUUUCCAUUCCCCCUAAAUAGAAAAUUUGCCAUAUUUUUAGAGUUUAUCUUUUAUAUAUGUGUUGUACAAUUUGUAAUUCAAAACCAAGUUGUAAAUUAUGGAAUAUUUAACAAAUCCUUAAGUAAUUAUGAAAAUUCCCCCUAGUUAAUACUUCCAGUGACUGAGAGACAAAUAUAAAAGGCUUUUAGGUUGAAAUGCAUCAAACUACAAAUUCAGCAGCCAAAGAAGACACAAAAAGAUAGUGCUACACAAAACAACUAAUAUAUAGAGGAACUUAUUGAGUCUAUGUUAUAUAAGUAGAGGAGUUUGAAUCUCAAUAUGUGUUAGUGUUAUCAUAGUAUGACUUCAGCGCAAAAAGGCAUACAGAAUCGGAUGUUAAACUCUUCCAUGACUAUGAACAGGUCCAUAACAUAGAAAAAUCUUGUCUAAAGCAACAUAUCCUUGAAAAGUAUAAUACCUUUGCAAUAACAUCUUUUUUCCUUCAUUCGACCGAGCACAAUCCCAAUAUUUUAGUUCCCCUUUUAACUGCAAUAUGCUUGCAAUAUAUAUCAUUUAACACUAUACAAUACAUAUGAAUAAAAAUAGUAGAAGAAAAUAGUUUGCACUUACGAAAAGCUAACCAAAGUCUGUUCUGUAAUUCUAUACCCUCCAAUGUGACUAACUAUAUAUAGAGAAAAUAUUUAUCCAAGGAAAAAAACAUAAAAAAAUAUAUUAAGAUUUAUAAAUGACAUGCUUCGGUAUUAGAACCAAAGCUUUUCAUUAUGUAUCAAUGCACAAAUUCAAAGAUUCAUUUUUCUGGCACUUCACUUUACAAUUUUCAAGAAAAGAAACAAAAUAAUUGCAACAUCAAUCUGACAUCUCUGGUAAGUCAAACGCUUGAUCUAGACACUACUUAUUUUUUUUUAAUUUCUAUAUUUUUUGUGAGUAAGUUAUUCUUCUUGCACUAAAUUAAAGUAAAUAGAAAUAAAGUAUUGCAAAAAUAAGAAAUAAUUUAUAAUAGAUAAUCAAGCAAUGCCUGCCAAGUACCAGUUACAACUCAUAUUAAGGACAACUUUCAAAAGACACCUAAUUGCUGAAGCCUAAUUAACAUUGCCUUAAAAAGAAGCCAAGACCCGAUAACUAAUGUCAGGAUAAAAAUUAGGCACAAUAGAUCGACAACUCCUUAAAGUUAUCUUCACUUUUCACUUAAACACUUCAUCUUAAGUAUGUUCCAUUUGAACACUUUAUCCAGGCUUUUACUGUAUCAUUUAGACACACAAAUUGAUAGGCAAUCAAACAAGAUGUGUAUAAUUCACAUGCCAGAGUGACGAAUAAAACGGGAACACGUGGAUUUAACUUAAAUAAAUGAAAAAAAACUUCUGAAAAAAUAAAGAAAAAAAUUACAAAAAAGCUCCGUUCUUCACACCGCACCAAAAGCCCUUUCUUCAUCGGCCGACACUGGCAUUUCUGGCAAAGUACCACCAGCAAAUUAUACCCGGUUAGCACAAAGAGAUUCAUGAGCCUACAUGGGCAACAACAACAAACAGCCGCACAUUUUACCGUCGUUCCAUCAGCAACCUCUGCGAACCGCACCCCUUCCGAACCCCACCUCGUGAUGACGAAGCUUGGCCCGAUAAAAGUGGUUGCCGCCGCCGUUCCACCGAAAGUGAUGACAGUCCACCGAUAAAAGUUAUGACGGCGAAAUCGUGGCUCAAUCCGGAGAUUUACCAUUAAAAAUUGGAAGAACUUGAAACGAAGAAUCGAAAUUUGAAACCUUCGAUUUGUUGAUGUUUUGGUUAAAUGAAUAUUGGGGUUUGCUCUUAACAUCAAUAUGAACUUACAUGGUGCAGAUCUAUGUUUGAAGCUAGUUGGAUUUGAAGCACCAUUGCCAACCGUUGAAGGAGCUGGGUCAAUUCAGAUCUAUGUUUUUCGAAUAUUUACAAAGUGGGUAUUGUUUUAUUUUGAUGGAGGAUUAAAUUUGGAACCCAUUUGAGGCUGAAUCGUUGAUGUCAUGAAGCUCAAUGGCCUAGAAACAGGAAAUGAUAUGGACAAUGCACCUUUUUUUUUAAUCUCUGCCUCCUUUUGAAUUGCUGAGGAACGCUUUUCCGGCAAAAAUUAUUUAUUUUCCGGCGAGAAGUAUGAGGCAUUUGUUUUUCGAAUCAUUUCACGCGCAUAAAAAAUGUGAGAAAUACUUACUUGCCAUGUAAGUUUUUUGUGUCUAAAUGACACGGUAAAAGUCUGGAUAAAAUGUUCAAAUGGAACAUAUUUAAAGAAAAAGUAUUUAAGUGAAAAGUGAGGACAACUUUAAGAGGUUGUCGAUGUAUUAAGCCUAAAAUUUAUUUAAAUCCAAUUUAGUCAUACAUAAAAAGUUAUCUAUUUGUAUGAGGAACUCAAUAAAAUUCACCUUCCAUGAACUAAAAGAAAAUGAAGGGAAAAAAAAGAGAAGUAUAGUAAUAGAGGAAAAAUUUAUCAGAAAAUGAAGUGAAAGAAAAGAAAAGUUAAAAGCAACAGAGGAAGAAAAAGAUUAUCAAGAACAUCAUGAAAGCAACAAACUGGCGACACAGUAAAUUAAUUAUCAAAGAACAUAAAAAAUAGCAAAAGCUAAAAAUAUGUAUAAACCUCAAGCAGCAAGAAAUAGACACUACUCAUUUUAUUCAAAUAGUAUAACAGAAAUAUGAUUGACUUGUAUAUUACCUGGGCCAAAUAAUGGAAAAAGGAAAAACUAAACAUAAACAUUUCACUUCAACGUUUUAGUUUUCAUUUCAAUAGUCAUUUUCCUACCCAUUUUGAAAUAUCCAUCACUGUUCCUCUUCAUCUCUUAAUUCUCUAUUAUUGUACUUCUAACCUACAUUCUCUUCUUUUUUCUUUUUCACUAUUCUAUCCCAUAAAUGUUUCAAUCAAGUAAAAGAUAAAUAAAUAAAUUUCAUAAAAAAUGUCAAAAAACUAACAUGUUACUAUAAUUUUAGAGACUUGUACUUCCCAAAAUAUCAACCUAGUCAUUUUACAUCAUAUUUGAGUUACAUAGCAGUAGUAAAUACGCACAAUUUCGUGAAUACUGUUGAACAAAUCUUUUCUUUUGAACUCGUAAAGGUCUUUUCUUUACCUGAGCAGACCCAAUAUUAAGAUCAGCCUUGUCCAUCUUCCAGAAGGAAAGCUCCAGUAUGAGAGCUUCUCCUUUUCUGCUAUGUACCGAUACAUUUAUUAGUUCGGGGUCAUGCAUCCAAAAUUACAUAGUCUAAAGAAAACAAAUAAUAAUUUGAGGGAUACUAAUUGGCCGUAUAAACAUCAAGAAAAGCGCCAAUUAGCAUUAGAACCAUUAGUUAACAAAAUCUCCACCACAAUUAUUGAAACCUCCAUUACAAACUUUUAGCCUUUAAUGCCAUAUUGCCUACGACAUUUUCAAAUUUAACACCUUAUGGUAAAGUUCCUCACUGAGAUUUUUUCUUGUUGAUCUUUCAUGUGCAGUUUCUCAAGUUAAAUCUUUCAAAUGCAAAAAUCAAAGAGUAAAUAAUAUACGUAUAUCAUUGUAUGUCAAGAAAGAGUAGAAGAUCUUGUUAAUGCUAUGUGAUUAAAGGGAACAUAUUUCCAUAACCUACAGAAAAGUCAAAGAAUAGUCUUUUUAAAGAAACCCAAAAAACAAGCAUCCAGUAAAAAUACAUACCAAAAAUGUCGAAUUCAACUCUCAAGUAAACAACACAGUUCUUCUAUUUAAGACAUUAUCAAACACCUUGGUUGCAUGAGAGAUCUUGUUUGUUUCUUCACCAUUUUUGUCCUAUAUGAAAAUUCAUUAUACCCAAAUCGUGUUUAAGCCUCUGCAGAAAAUUUUCCAACAAAGAUGUGCAAAUCAGACGUACACAAUGGAAGAAAUCACCAGAGAGAGUAGUGAAUAAGAGAUACCCGUCAAAUACCCAUUACCAACACAUGGGUGCAACUAACAAAGAAAGAGUGGAGAAAAAUUCUGCAAAACUUCGAACGAAAUAUAGCACACACUGUAAAAAAUUGGAGAAAUUUUAAAGGAAACUCAAAAAAUAAGGCUAGAAAGUGUAAAAAAAGAAACAAAAAUUGGAGAAAUUUGAAAGGAAACUCAAAAAAUAAGGCUAGAAAGUGUAACAAAAGAAUCAGAGUAUACAGAAUGCAAAUUUGGGAUGUGAAAGUGGAAUGCACAUAUAUUCAAAAGGGAACUAAUUAAUUAGGAUCAAAUUUAGAAGUAAACCCAAAUUCCAUCAGUAUGGUCUUGAAACUUAGGAAAUGAUAUUGAAAAAGAGAGAAAGAGCUAAGAGAAAGACACGAAAAGCUCAGUUAUAUUCACUCCUGGGCUUGGUUGGGAAAUCGAAAAGACAAUUCUAGACUGAAAGUAUAAAGAUAAUUUUACCCUUGGUCGACCACACUUGCCCCUUCUAUAUAAUAGAUAAUAGAAAAUAAAAUAAAAAGGGCAGCCUAGUGCACAAUGCAUCCCACGUUCACACCGUGCACAAGUCCACUUUUAUUAAUAAUAUAGAGCAAAAAACAAAACAGCAAACAUUAACAAACCAAGCCAAGAGUAGUUUAAGAUCUUCACAAUUCCAUCAGAUGUCCUACAAUUAAACACUCAAACUAAGGAAACCUCAAUCCAUCAAGCCUAAAAUAACUUAGUUCUCACUUUGGUUGCUCAUGUUACACACCAGAGAAGCUCCUGUGAUGAAAAAUACAAUCAAAGUGAGCUUUCUCAUAAAUCAAAUCAUUUAGAAGGAAAUCAAACAACAGUCAAGCUAAACAUCUAUGUCAACCCACAGAAAGCAAACAAAUCGAUUUGUACAGUAAUAUUCCAGUAAAGGGAAAGCUUGCUAUCACAAAAUCACGAUCCCUUGGCCAAUUUUUGUGCACUCAUGAGGCUUUUAGUCAACCAUAUUGCCGUCUCUCUAGAUGAAAUUACAUCAUCGCCAAAUGGUUUUAGCACACCAGCAAGCUCAUCAAUUUUUUCCUGCUUAAGUAGUCGUGCACAAACCUCUAAAAGGGAUUCCAGAGCUUCAGCUCUUUGUUGAGUGGGAUUUUCCCAGUCAUUUUUGUGCUCAGCUAAUGCAGCUAGCGCCUUAAGCAGUGAAACCCUAUCAUCUAGUGCUUGAAGAGCAUCUUUAUCGGUCUGUUUAGCAUCUUCAACCAUAUUUCCUUUCUUUUCUAUGUCAUCUUUAAGUGGGGUUGAACCAUUUCUUUCAGAAGCAUUGCAGUCAUCAUCAACUUCUUUGAACUCGCCAACGUUUUCAGUUUCAGAUGCAUGACACCUUAGUUCAGCAUCAGUAUCAGAUUUUGCAGGUUGCGUAGUCGAUGAAGUGCUCUCUUCGUCAAAGGACCGUGUUUUCUCAGUGGAGCUUCCACUAGACGAAAUCACUCUGCUCGGCUUUUCGGAGAUGCAAUCUAGUUCAUUCAGGUCUGCUUCUCCACUGCCACUUGGAGUGCUCAACACCUCAAGGUCUUUUGUUUUGUCACUCUCCCCGUCACCUUCUUCAAAUUGUUGAAAAUGCUCAACAGAAACUUGCUCAGUGUUUGCCAUGAAUCUUGAAGAUUCUGGCGUAUUUGUACUUCCUUCUUGCAAUAGAGAGUCGGAUAGACCGUCUCCGUUGCAAAUAGCUUCCUCACUAGUGUCCCAACAUUUAGAAUCCGCACCAUUUACAAAGAUCUUUGUUGAGUAGCUAGUGGGAUCAACUCUCUUAGUCUCGAGUUUGGCUUUAAAAGUGUCAUAGUUGUCUGAUAAAUUUCGUGGCCGAAUGUUGUCACUUUCAUCAAAGUAAAUAACGGGGACCUUCUCUUUUAGCCUUAGAGGUUUGUCACUUUCAUCAAAGUUAAAAACAGGAACCUUCUCUUUUAGCCUUAGAGGUCUGUCUUUUAUGAAUCUAGGACUGCCAGAUUUUCCAGGUGAUUGCUUUGUUUUUUCCUUUGGGCUGUUUGGGGACUUCACUGGAAGAAAAGCAGAUGAAGGGUUGCGGCAGCGAAGGAGGUAUGGUUGCAAAUGUUGAUGCCUUAACAACUCCGCAGUCUAAAAGUGAACAUAAAAAAAAAAAAAAUCAGAAAGAAUGAUGAUUUCAGAUUGAAUUGCAUUGAAUAUAUGCAGCUAGCACUCACUGUUGGUCUGUGUUCAGGGCUUUUCCUUAGCAUGCUUUUAAUAAUCUGUUUCCUGUAAGGAUUAAUCCAUUUUGUCAGUUUGAUGAUUAGCUGUAUUUUUGUGGUUAGAAUAACAAUCACAAGUGCUAGUAGUAGGAAAUAGGAACCACUUCUUAACAAUGGUUGGAAGCUACUUACAAGUUGGAGGAGUAUAUAAUUGGAAGUGGCGAUAAAGUACCCCUGUUUAUUUUAUUGAUAAGUCCAGUCAUGUCCUGCAGAAUAAAAAAAAUUCAAUAUACCGCACAAAUAUAUUAAGGUAAUGAAUGUAUUAUGACGUCCACAGGUAGCUAAGGUCAACUUACUGGAGCUCUAAAUGGUGCUUGGUGUGCGGCAAUCUCAAACAUGCAGCAUCCUACAAUCACAUCAAACUUUUAUUCCAAUAUUAAGGAAAUAAUACAAAAGGAAAUACAUUGCUUCCCCCAAUUCUCUUACCAAGAGACCAUAUGUCGGAUUUGUAGCCAUAUGGUAUAUCAGCAAGGAGCUCAGGGCACAUAUAGUUUGGAGUACCAACAACCUGUUUGGAUGGAACAAGUCACUAAUAGAGCUUGUUGGCAGAGUAAGAAGUCAUAGCAUGUUCCUCAAACAAAUGAAGACGGGGUUGUUUGUAAUUGACAACUGCCGUAAUAUAAAAUUCACUACAAGAUGGCAUACUAUAUUAUAACUAAAAAGAACACCUGGUUUUCCCAACCUUGGAGGGGGAUGGGGUACCCUCUAUCUAGUAACUACUUAAACAUAUUGAAUCAUUUGUGUAGGUGAUCAUAGUUCGUUGCUAAUAAGCAGGAGCUGAUUUUUCCACUACAGUUGUAUGAAUAUAAAGAGAAAUCAUACUGAGGAAGCAAGGCCUUCUCCAUCUAGAAGUUUUGCUAAUCCAAAAUCACCUGCAUAAAUAAAGUGAAAACAAAUUUGAUCACACAUAACAGAGAAGCAAGGAGGUAAUGAAACACUUGGCUGUCAUUCUUACCUAGCCGGAUGUCAUUGUCCUUUGUGAUAAAAAUGUUAGAUAACUGAAAUCGAAGUAGUUCAUGUUAAAACAUGUCAUACUAGGAAAGCUCAUAAACAGAUCAGGUCCUGUUUAUACCUUCACGUCUCUGUGUAGAACACGGUUGGAAUGCAGAUAAUCCACCGCCAGUAAUAGCUGAGUCAGCCAUUUGCAGAGUUUCUGCGGAGGAAAAAGAUUGUGAGCACAUAACUUUAAGUGAAACAUGCUAGUACAGAGAACCCAUUAUGAUGGAAGUUGUAUCUAAACUACCUCUUCUGGGAAGAGAGCUCCUCUUGACUUCCUUAUGAUCUUUGCCCUGAUCACCCAAAAAAAGUCAGAGUGCUCGUAUCAGACGAUAAAACAUUCCUAUGAUCAUCUUAUUGCUUUCGCUCUUUUUAUUUAGGAAGAGGUGUCUAAAGAUUCUUCAUAUACUUGCAUCAAAGGCUAGUUCACCUCUAUAAAUAUGUUUCAACCAUCUUUUGAAAGAAACGUAUAAGUGCAAAUAAGGAAAUCGUCUAAAAAUGCUAGCAGGUUAGGAUAACCACUCACAUAUCUCCACCUUCACAAUAGUUGGUAACGAUGCAUAUAGAGUUCCCCUGAAAGAAAAACAAAGUCAAGCCUUUUCUGAGCCAACUCGAUGUGGAAAUUUUUUCAAAUGAAGGAUAGUUAUUGCAGUUUCAAAUCCUCUGCUAGAACUGAAUAACAUAAUAUACCUUGUCGACCCAAGCAUCCUUGUACUCCACAAUAUAUGGAUGGCUUAGCUUAGCUAUCAGAUUCAUCUGCCAUAGAACGAAACAUACAAGCAUAUAAUCAGAUAACAUAAUAUUAUACAAACAUCUCAACGUUGUUAAAAUCGUCCCAUUUUAAGUGGCCUAAUUUGACGAGAAUACUAAAUUAAUAAGAUAAGUUGAAUGUGUGCAGGUUCAAAGGUAAGAUUUUUUUUUAUCGGUAAAGGUAAGAAAAAAGUUUAACUCUUCAAUUACUUAACUUUUCUUGACUACAAUGACUAUUUUUCUUCUAAAAGUAAAAAGGCAUCGUCGGUACACUAUCUAUUCGUUACCAUAAACUCAAUAGUAUCAAAGGCUGCAACAGAAGGCUUGCUUAUAUAGGUCAACCCAACUUUGACAGGAUAAUGGCCACAUAAUUAGAGCAAAGGGAAUAUUUUUUUGCGAGACCUUCUGGCUUAUAAAGUUCUUCACAAGAACAUUUUAGGAGUAGGCACCAAAUUUUAUAAGUAUGAAAAUGUGCUCCACGUCCUAAAAGAAAGCGAUUGUAGCAUUUACUAAUAUCCAGAAGUAGCAAAAUUUACAUAUAAUUUUCCAACCUAAGAAUUUCCUUCAACUAAGGUCUGAAAUUGCUAACCUUUGCUAUGAGAUUUUGGUUUGGAUGGUCACACUCACAAUAGUUUUCUACUUUUCUUCUCUACCAAAAAUUAUGGAAAAUAUCUGCUUCUAAUAUCGCUGAAGAUCUUCUCCAAUCUGCUUAACCAUAUGGUCUAACUAAUCAUGAUUCAAUUACUAAGGAAGACUGCUCAAAUAAGAAAGGGGUUUGAAGAGUAAGACUGCCCCUUCAAAUGUACAAGAGUAAAAUAGUGAAAUGACACAUCUGUGGUAUGAGAAUGAUGACCAAUGCCAUAGCAUUUGUUCAAAAUUCCGUAAUUACUUCUUGGUUAAGCUAUAGAAUAUGUGCUCUUAUUUUUGUACGCCCAAAUUAACAAAGUUCUACUGUUGAAGAAAAUUUUGCCUUUUAUUAUGAACCGAACUUGUCUUAGUGACAUCCAUGACCAAAGACCAAUUCAAAAUGGAUGAUUAAGGAAAUGCUUAGCUUAAAUAUUUGGAAUAUCUAUCUCAUAGUAGAAAGCAAAUGCAGCAUUUGGAAAAAAAUUAGGUUUGAGGACUGUAAGGCAAGGACAUUGACGGCUGACAAGGAAAGACGUGCACAAGAAUCUAAGACAACUGAUUUAUUGGCGUCAAUUAGACCCUCAAGAUAUUGGAAACGAAACACAAACUAUCGAUGAUAGAUACCACUUCUGAGUCUUUAUGAUGGAACACUUUUGUAUAGUAUAGGUUCUUGAGCCGAGGGUCUUUCGAGGUAGGGGUAAGGGCUACGUACACUUUACCCUCCUGAGACACCACUAGUUGGAUUUCACUGGGUUUGUUGUUGUUAUUGUUGUUGUUGUUGUACUUUUGUAUAGUAUAGCUUUCCAAUAUCAAAUCUAAAAGGAUCAUUAAAACAGGCAACCUAACAUUAGGUUGCUCAAUUUAAGCAUUGAAUCAUGUACUUAUGCAUUCAAUAGUGAGCUGAAGGCUUCUGAUCAACCAACCUCAAAAUUAGGCAAUCUAGCCUCAGAAUGAAGAAAAGAUUGACUACCGUUUGAUUGUAAAAGCCAUACAAAAGAAAACAAUAUAAAGAAGCAUUUAAAAUGACCUCUUGAUGUGCAGUACGCUUGAACUUCUCUGACUGCUUUGCUAAAGGUAUCUUCUUCAGAACAUAUCUAAAAGGAAAAUAAUGAUAGUGAUAUCAAUAGUCCAUUCAAAACAGUCUUCAACAAUUAUUACCAGUCUCAAUAAUUUGAAUAUUCUACACAAGGGAUUCAGUACUACAUAGAACAUGUAGCUCAAUCAGAAUACGGGUAAUUUACAGUUGUAUAAUUAUGUUUUCAUAAUUAAAGCCAACUACACAGUCCAUAAAAGCCAACAUAAAUUCUCACUUUAAAACUGCAAAUGCAGCUAAAUAUUAAUUAUUGGUUUCUGUCUAUGAGUACCUUGUUGCCAGUAUAAAUCACUUCAUCUUGAAUUUCUUUGUUUUCUGUUACAUUAUGAACACUGAAAGACUAGAAUAUUAAAAGAAGAUAAGAUCUACAACAGCACAUAACAAGUUUCCUUUACAUGCUUUAAGUAGAUAGAAACACUCCAUCAAGACAAUUAUUUUUUGUAUUCUUGAUGACCGAGAAAUCCGUCUAGGUCCAACCCUAAGGACCUAAGGACGAAACACAGCCUUCGAAACUCGGAGAUAAUGGGCCCACGCCUCAACAUUUUUACUACUAUUAAACACCAGGAUUAGUUCGCAUGCCACAGGGCUCGAACCUUUGCCACUUGAAUUAAGCCCCCGGGGCCACUCCAUCAAGACAUUUUUUUAUUAAGAAAGAAGCAUAAUACAAUUAGUUCUUGAAAUUGAUAAAAAGUGAGUAUCCAUCUCAAACAAGCUACAUAUUAGAAGUUUGCUCCUCGGAAUCCCAGCAAAUGCAUUAUUACCAUAAACAAGUUUUGCAAAUACCAACACAAAGCACUAUCCCUCAAAAAAAUAGUAGUAGUAACUAAGUAUAUAAAUUCUGAGAAAUGCUUUUUUUCAAAACGCCUAAAGAAGCAAAAAUCUAUGAAAUCUAAAACCACAUAUCUCCCUUACCCCAAAAUUGAAAAGACAAGAAAAGGUUGGCUAACCAGGAAGCAUUACUUCCAAUAAACCAGAAACAUAGGAAAAAUUAAAUUUGCUUACUUCUUCUGCUCAGUUAUAUGAAGAACAAGAAAUGCUGCACCAAAAGCUCCUCUUCCAAUUUGCUCUAUCACUUCAUAAUCAUCUAUCUUUGACUUGCUACCAUUUUGUGUCUCCAUUCUACCCUCAAACUCAAAAGGGUCAACGAAAAUACAAACAAAGAUUCAAGCUUUUUUGCUAAUUGAACUGGUUCUUGAACUCACCCAACUCAAACCUGAGACAAAAUAUUUCAGGGUCAACACUAGAAAUUCCUUUCAGAGAUGCAAGUAAAAGCAAAAGGCAAAUCUUUGGUCUUGCACCCUUAAGCAGAAAUUAAGGAAAAGAUGACAUUCAAAGUUGGGUUCUUUGAAAUAAUGAAAGGCUGUUUAGGAAUGGAAUUUGCAUAAAAGCUACACAAGGCUAUAAUGAUGUCAAGCUGCAACAACUAUGUGUACGUGUGUGUGUGAGAGAGAAAGACAAGAAAGAGGGCCCACGGAGCAGAAAGAGGAAGGAGGGUUGGUUGGGCCUUAAGAUUUUAGGAAGACAACAAAUUUCAACUAGUGUAACAAUGGAUUCACAAUUUUGGAGGAAAAGUCAAUGAACAUAUUACUACUAUUGGUUUACCACUUCUUCUUUAUUUUUUUAAAAUCAAAAUACCUCCUCCUUCCCAUUUUACACUAGACUCUUUUCUUUUUCUCAAUAUCUCAAAAUAUUUAACAACAAUUUAUUUAAAUAAUUUUAGAACUUUAGAUAAUUUAAAAUUAUUAAAUCAUUCAAAUUUAAAUUUGAUAUGAUGCUUUUUCUUAACUAGAUUUUUUAAUAUUAUAUUAUAUUAAUAUCGUAAACUUCAUACUCAUUCAAAUAUUUUUGCAUAAAUGGAAUACAAGAAUAAUAUAUUGUGAAAAAAUUAUAUCCAAGUUGAUCAAUUUUUAAACCUAAAUUAGAUAUGAAAUUAAAAAAAUCAAAAAUUUUAAUAUCUACAAAUUAUAUAAAAAUAUUAUUAUGAGUUGUUAUCUUUAAUAAAACUAGAAUUUGUCUUGCUAAGUCAGACAAAAUAAUUAUAUAUUCUCCAAAGGAAGUUGGUACAAUAUAAUACUUUUGAAUUUAAUUAUUUGCUUGCCUCAUUUCGACAAUAAUUGCAUAAAACCUGUUUGUAAUAUCCACUCCACAAACAUAUAUGCUAGUACUCAAUUUCUUUUAGUUGUAAAUUUGAUGAAGUAAGAGAAGGAAUAUAUAACAAAAGAGGGGUCAGGAAAGUAAAAAGAAGCACAUAUGAGUAGUGAAUUUUCCUGAUGGCAAAGCAGGAAGAUAAGUCUAAUAAAUUCCUUAGUCUCUCUUAUAAAUUCCUUUGUCUCAACAUUAAUAGUCAGUGUUUUGACUAAUGACUAGGAAAAGAAUUUAGCCUAGUCACACACGAGUGGUCUUAUCGCACCAUGUUGGUUUCAUCAUAUCAUGAUAGUGUAAAAUAAAAUAAAAUAAAGUAAAGAGAGAGAGCCAUAGUUCUAAAGCUACAUUAGACUAGUAAAUUACUACAUUAACAAGAUAAUGGAGAAUAGAAAAUGGGCUACAUGUGUGUAUUAUAAAAAGGGGGAAAAGAAGAGCAAGUUUUGGGUGACAGGUGUGGAAGAGCCAACCAAAAGAAGUGAGGGACCAAAGAACUUUGCUUGCAAUUCCAGAAUCAAUAAAAGGGUGUGGGAAUAGACCAUUUCACACACAAGGGAGAAAAUUAAACACCUUCUAAUUGGGGCACAGCCAUGAUGUCACUAUCCUCAACUACAUGAUUUUCUAAAUUAUCUUAAUAACAGUCUGUUCACGCCAAUAUUAUUUUCAAAUACACACGAAAGUAUAUAUGAUUAACAAGUACUACAGUAACUUAAAGUAUAUCGAACUCAUAGAGACAUAUGUUAAUUACUCACUAAUUCAACUAAAACUUUUUUUAUCUAAUUGAGUUCACCAAAUUGAGAAUUUUGUUAUUAAUCUUCUAUUGCAAAAAUUAAACAAGUAAUAAAACUGCAAAAGUGAAAGAUUAUUGUUAAGAGUUGAAUUAAUAUUCCAGCGUUGUGGCCGGUUCACCAUCCCUAUUGAGUUCUGAUUAUUCAUCCUUAAUCCAAAUUACCGAUGGUUGCUAAUUAAUCGAAUUAAAAUUAGUCACAGUAUUCUCUCAAAUUACUACUCGCCUACUCAGAAUAUUCCUAUGAAAUUAAUAGAUUAAAAAUGCAUUGAGAUCAUGGCAUGUAAUUAAGCGAGGUGACUAGGUAUAUUUCUGUUCUAACACAAAUCUGCACUCUAAUCAUACGACUAAGAUCAUGCUCUCUUUAGCUCUUCUCUAAUUUAAGAACGACUGUCACGACCCGAAAAUCCCAUCCUCGUAACCGUGACGGCGCCUAACAUUUCACCUGCUAGGCAAGCCAACGUUAGAAUAGUUUAUCCAUUUUCUUAUAUAGAUCAAGUUAAAUAAUAAGAAAGAAAUCGAAAUAACUGAAAUAAAUUAUGAAAUAAAGUGCAGAAAAUCAUAACAACUGAAAUAUCUAAUACAACCCCGAAUCUGGUGUUACAAGUGCACGAGCU
rnacentral:lncRNA from 1 species